rnacentral:lncRNA from 1 species
CGAAGCCCGUCCAGCUUCCUUGUGUGUACUUCACUGUGACGUCAAAGCCCUUGGAGCGGUAUGUGCUAGACCUGGAGAAAGAAAAGAAAAGCAUAUUGUAUUCAUUUUAUUUUAUUUUAUUUUUAUUUAUUUAUUUUUGAGACGGAGUCUUGCUCUGUCACCCAGGCUGGAGUGCAGUGGCGGGAUCUUGGCUCACUGCAACCUCCGCCUCCCGGGUUCAAGCGAUUCUCCUGCCUCAGCCUCCUGAGUAGCUGGGAAUACAGGCACACAUCACCACGCCCAGCUAAUUUUUGUAAUUUUAGUAGAGACGGGGUUUCACCAUGUUGGCCAGGAUGGUCUCGAUCUCUUGACCUUGUGAUCUGCCUGCCUCGGCCUCCCAAAGUGCUAGGAUUACAGGCGUGAGCCACUGCGCCCGGCUAAGCCCCUUGCAUUCUCUUAUGUAUCCAUGUUCCCGAACCAUGAAGAUAAGGUUGCCGUGUCCAAGGCAGCUAUCCUAAACACAGAAAGUCUACUGUAAGCCUGUAAGCCAUUCUUUAUCAUGAACAGCAUCAAUGUUAACAAAGUGACAGCUUCCCCCAAAAACAUAAUCGCUAAUGUUUUGGUAACAGUGUUUUCCAUGUCAUGUGGAAGGGACGCACUGGUGUAAACAUGUGGCUGGAGUUUAAUUUUUCACUAUACCCAAGUUAAACCCUAUAAGUCAGGUGCUUUGUUUGGCCACCGUAGGACACGACCCUUUGAAGGACACAACCCAAUCUGGCACCUGCCUGGCCCUCCGGCUUUGCAGGGCUGCUGUGCUGCUGCUGUGUGACACGGGUAGGUGCCGGCAUCCCAGAGGGAGGCUCCACCAGCCUGUGCCCGCAGCAGCUGGAGUUCAGGUUCACACAUACAACUCAUGUGACAAAUAAUGACCAAGCCCUACCUGCUGAAGCCCAGGUCCUUCAUGUCACAGGUCCUUCUCAAGGUUCUCCCCCAAUGCCCCAAAGGUGAUUAUACUCUCACCAAAAUAUGGGCAGUGACGCUAAUGGCAUGCCAGAACAUGAAUCACUGUGACAUGACCGAGAGCCUGACACUCACGUGGCCCUGGAGGUAAGAGCUACUGACGCAGAACGACAUUCACAAGAUCAGACGAAAGUCCUGCCCCCUCAGUUUAUGCUGCAGUGAGGAGAGAUAAUGAAUGCGGGAAUGGUGGUUACGGGACGAGAGCCACCCAGGGAACAAAGCAGGCAAGGGGACCUCAAGUGACCCAGUGGUUGGAGAGAACUCUUGGAUCCAACCAUGUUUGCAUGAGACCUGAAUGAAGACAGUGAGACCUGGGGCUCUCUAGGGGUAGAGCACUGUGGAGAGAGGACAGCAGGUGUCAUGGCCCUGGGGAGUCCCACCCUAUAAGGUCAUUCCUAUGCCCAUUUGAGUUUGAAAACUGCUGGAAUAUAGGAAGGAACCUAAGAAACAUCUCUAGGCAAAUGUCUAUGAACUCAAACCAUGCUCCUCCUAAGAAAAUAAUCACAAUUCUAAGCUAAAUAUCAAAUCACCCAGUAGAUCAUACUAAAGCGAUCCUGCUCACCUGCAGGCUUGAUUUCACUCUGUUUUAAUAAUCAGUCUGUGAACAUUAACACGUGUUAAUAAGUCUUUGUUGUGGGAUUACAUGAACUAGUGCAGUCUUGCUUAAGGUCAGUAAAGAAGUUUGGAGAUGACAUGAUCAUUUGUUCAUUCAUUCAUUCAUUCAUUCAUUUAUUAUUUCUUUUAAAGAAAAGGUCUUGCUCUGUCAUCCAGGCUGGAGUGCCAUAGCGCAAUCAUGGCUCACAGUAGCUUGAACUCCUGGGCUCAGGAGAUCCUCCCACCUCUGCCUACUGAGUAACUGGGACUACAGGUGCACACCAUCAAGCCCAACUAAUAUUUUUCUUUCUUUUUUUGCCGAGACAGGGUCUCAUUAUAUUGCCCGAGCUAGUCUCAAACUCCUGGGCUCAAGUAAUCCUCCUACCUUAGCCUCCCAAAAUGCUGGGAUUACAGGCAUGAGCCACCCUAUCUGGCCUUUUAUUCAUUAACUCAUUCUUGGUAUAUCUCAUAAGCAUCAAAAAUGUUAACUAUCUUUAAUUCAGUAACUGCACUUCUGAGAAUCUGACCCUAAGGAGACACCAGGAAGCAGACAGAGGUUCAUGUGCCAGGAUGGUCGUGAUGUUUUAUGUAUAACAGCAAACAGCUGGAAACCAUCCAAAUGCUCAGUAACAAGGAAACAGUUCAGUAAAUUACAGCAUAUCCAUAUGAUGCGCUAUUAUGUGCCAAGGGAAAAAUGUUUCUUUUUCUAAGAAAUUUUAAAUGAUGCAGAGAAAAAGUUAAAAGAAAAAUACGUCAAUGAGACAGACUCUCCUUCAAAACUAUUUAUUACACUCAAAUAUUAACAGUGGCCAGCUGGGGUGGCAGGAUUGGAGGUGGGAGGACUCCUAUUCUUGUGGUUAGGUCCCUCCAUGUUUGCAUGCAUUAUUUUUAUAAUCAGGAGAAAUAUGUUAUUUUACGAAGGUCUGGCAAACGGAUUUGGGGGAAACAGCUGAUUCUAACUUCAUAAUGGGGUACAGAAUAUAAAGAUGGUUGGCUUUUAAUAUUUGCCUACUAUCUUGGUUCACUCCACCGUGAUCAUAAAGUAAGAGAGGCAUUCAGUGAAUGUUUUCUGUGCGCAGAUCUCCCGACAAUGGGCAGGUACAAAAACAGAAAAGUGACCACAGAGGGUCCUUAGAGCACUAAGGGAUCCACCAGAAAUUACCCAGGUAACAUGCAGUCAGGUCUUUGAAAUGGGGUAUUUGAAGAUUGGCGGAAUGCCAAGUGUUAGUGCCAAUAUAAAUUCAGAUGUGCCUGCCACAUGGGAGGAGAUGAACACGCUUAUGUUGAAUAGCAAUAAAAAUACUGAAUUAUUCAGUCCAUUUUGACAAUUUGGGUUCAUUCCUCAAGUUCAGAAAUAUACAAAGACUAAUUAUCUUGAAAUGCUUGGAGAAUAGGAUCUAGAACAGAGGUUGGCAAUUUCUUUCCAUAAAGAAACAAAUAAUAGACGUUUUAGGUUUGUAGGCCAUGGGAUCUCUGUGAUAACUACUCAGCUCUCAAACGUAAUGUGGAAGCAGCCACAGACAAUGUGUAAGUAAACUUGCAUAGCUGCAUGGCUGUGUUCUGAUAGAACUUUAUUUACUAAAACAGGCAGCAGGUCAGAUUUGGCUCAUGGGCUAGAGUUUGCCAACUCCUGGUGUAUUAGUCUGUUUUUACACUGUGAUAAAGGCAUACCUAAGACUGGGUAAUUUAUAAAGAGAAAGAAGUUUAAUGGGCUCACAAUUCUACGUGGCUGGGGAGGCCUCACAAUCAUGGUGGAAGGUGAAAGGCAUGUCUUACAUGGGGAAGGGAAGAGAGAAAUGAAAGCCAGUGAAAGGGAUUUCCCCUUAUAAAACCAUCAGAUCUCGUAAAACUUAUUCACUGCCACGAAGACAGUGUAUGGGGAAAAACCGCCCCCUUGAUUCAAUUAUCUCCCACUGGGUCCCUCCCACAAUACAUGGUAAUUAUGGGAGCUACAAUUCAAGAUGAGAUUUGAGUGGGGUCACAGCCAAACCAUACUACCUGGUCUGGUAGAGUAAUCGUUUGUUGUUGCUGAGAUGGAGUCUCGCUAUGUCACCAAGGCUGGAGUGCAAUGCUGCCAUCUCAGCUCACUGCAACCUCCGCCUCCUGGGUUCAAGCGAUUCUGCUGCCUCAGCCUCCCUAAUAGCUGGGAUUACAGGCGCAUGCCACCAUGCCCAGCUAAUUUUUGUAUUUUUAGUAGAGAUGGGGUUUCACUAUGUUGGUCAGGCUGGUCUCAAACUCCUGAACUCAGGUGAUCCACCUGCUUCAGCCUCCCAAAGUGCUGGGAUUACAGGCGUGAGCCACCUUGCCCAGCCCUGGUAGAGUAAUUGUAUCUUUCCUAAACAGUCUAAAAUGCUAUGACUUCCUUUUGAAAAGUUUAGUUUCACUCUGUCCAGGCUAUAGAAAACUCUGUAGAAUUUGUAGUGUUAGUAAGAACCUGAACCAGCCUGCAUAUCUAUUUAGCAUGUCUUCUCUAGUUUCCUGCUCAGGUUGCUGGUCUCCUUACAGAGGGAGCACUCUGGAUAUUUUGGUGUCAUUUCCAGAGACAGCAGAGGCAGCUGGAGUUAUACUGCCUGGGUUCAAAUAUGAGUUCAAUCCCUUAUUAGCUGUGUGACCCAGGGCCAAGUUAUUUAUUUCUCUAUGCCUCGGUUUCCUCAACUAAAAAAUGGUGAUAAUAUAAUACCAUCCCUCGUGAAGUUAAUUAUGCAGAUUAAAAGAGUUAAUAUUGUAAAGCAUGUAGAACAAAAGCUUGGAACACAGGAGAUAUGCCACAAAAUAGCUGCUAUUAUUAUAAUUAAUCAUUUGCUGCCUUUUUUCAGGCUAUGAGUUAUUAUUAGAAAAUUCAAGUCUGGUAAUCCCAGCACUUUGGGAGGCGAGGCAGGUGGAUCAUGAGGUCAGGAGAUCGAGACUAUCCUGGCUAACACGGUGAAACCCCGUCUCUACUGAAAAUACAAAAAAUUAGCCAAGUGUGGUGGCGGGCGCCUGUAGUCCCAGCUACUCGGGAGGCUGAGGCAGGAGAAUGGCAUGAACCCGGGAGGUGGAGCUUGCAGUGAGCCGAUAUCGUGCCACUGCACUCCAGCCUGGGCAACAGAGCGAGACUCUGUCUCAAAAAAAAAAAAAAAAAAUUCAAGUCUGUUAGGCCAUGUUUGCAUUGCUAUAAAGGAAUACCCAAGGGUGAAUAAUUCAUAAGGAAAAGAGGUAUGAUUUUGGCUCAUGGUUCUGUAGGCUGUGCAUGAAGCAUGUUGCUGGCAUCUGCUUCUGGUGAGGCCUCAGGAAGCUUCCACUCAAGGUGGAGGGCGAAGGGGGACACAGUACAUUACAUGGUGAGAGCUGGGGCAAGAGAGAGAGGAGGAGGUGCCUGGCUCCUUUAAACAACCAGCUCUCAUGUGAACUAACGGAGCAAGAACUCACUCAUCACCUUGAUGAGAGCAACAAGCCAUUCAUGAGGGAUCUGUCCCCAUGACCCAAAUGCCUCCACUGAGGCCCCAGGUCCAACACUGGGAAUCACAUUUCAACAUGAGAUUUGCACCCAAAGCAUAUCAUCAGGAUGUUUUUGUUUGUUUGUUUGUUUUCUGGAAAAUGCUCCUAUAGAGCUACUCUUACUGAAUCUAAAGCUGUCUCAUUCUAAAGUCCAACCACCCCAUGAAAGGAGCAAGUGUGUGUGGGGUGUCUCAGCUAAGGAGGUCAAGGCGAGGUGGUGACGCUUCAAGCUCUUGUGCAACCGGUGUCUAAACGGCAGAGUUCCUCUCUGCCCUGCACCAGCGCUGUCCAACAGAACCUCCUGUGACGACAGAAAUAUCCUGCCCAAUACGCUGGCCGCUUGUGACUAAUGAACACUUGAAAUGCGAUUAUAGUGCAACUGAAAGACCGAACUUCUAUUUAACAUUCAUUUAAAUUUAAAUAGCCACAUGUGACUUGUGGCUAGCCUUGUAGAAAGCACAGUCCUAGAUAAUGUUAAAAAAAAAAAAAAAAAGGUAAUUCUCAGUUCAUAUUCAUAUUCUCUGGGUUCCUUGAACUAAACCUCUGAGUAAAACCCCAGAGAAGAAUCAUUCAUAAGUGACUCUAGGGGUUAUUAUUAGCGUAGAGUUUCCAGCACUUUAAAUGAAAAACAUGCCUUCAUCUUCAUUUUCUAACGUCCCACCUCUUGCGACUAAAAUGCUUUGGCUCUCAAUUGCUCUGCACAAUAAUUAAAUACAUGGAGCAAGAAACCUGGAUGGGCUUCUCCUUGGCAAUGUCCAUUCUGGGUGCUCAGAAACAGCAAUCAAUCAGGGAUGUGGGUGGCCAGGAAAAAGCCUGCUCACAGUAAUAAAAACACUUUGAACCAAAUUCAGAAGAUGUUCUGCCUCUGAUAAGAGUGCUCAGGGAAUGCAGGAUUAAAAAGUGAAAUCAAUUGAACUGAGGGGAAAAGAGCUACAGAACGUUUUAUUAUUUCAAAAGAAACCUGCUGUUGGUUGCAGAGAACACGAAAAGAGAAGGUGGAUGUGCAGAAUUCUAGAGUUCAAUCCUUGGGUCAGCUCUGGUUCUCCUAAGCCAUUCGACCCAGGGAAUGCUGAGUCUCCUAAAGAAUUCUGCUCAGGACUUCCCUGGGGCUCUCAGGGUCUGAAAUCUACCCGUGGGCUUACUGUCCUGGCCCAGGUGACCGGAUGCCCCUCUUAAUCUUCUGUGAUUCUCGAAGUCACCAGACCUGAAUGCAUGAGACCCCCUGAGGUUCAGGGUCAGCUCAGCCUGCCCAGCCUGGCGGUUCAUCAACAUCCUCAAUAACGUUAAAUGCUCACAGGCUCCAAAACAGCAAGUCCCCUUCUACUAGGCAAAUGAUGGACAUGCUUGAGAAAUGAUCUCAAUAAUCAGGUAAAAAUAUCUGUCCUCAUUGAAUGGAAAGCCAUUUGAUCUGUAUCCAGUUUAGCCUCCUUAAAGAAGUCCCUUACAAACAUUAGUUGAGGAAAAUAAAUUGGUCUCUUGCUCUGUGAGCUUCAACCCGGAUAUAGUACAGAAGUAAGGAGACAUUUUAAUGGAAAUAUACUUAAUCUCCUGAAUAGAUUCGUGGAGGGUCAAGGGAUGAGUAUACUGGAUCUCUCUUCAAGCCAACUAGCUGGAGGUGAGAUUUUAUUGGCUAAAAAAGAUGUACAUUUAAAAAAUACAUGAUCUUUUCUUUUCUUUUUUUCUUUUUUUGCUCUAUAGUAACUCAUUGGAACAUUCACCACCAUGAAAAGAUGGAUUCUGAUAAAGACGAGCUCACAAAUGACUAAUGGUAGCCUGACAUCUCAUUCCAUAAAUCAAAGAGAUCUUGUCAAAGAACCCCACGCCAAAUCUCCAAUUACUGUAACAUGUUUCAGGAAGCAUUAGACCUGAAUAUCCAAAGACUGAGGACGUGAAUCAGAGGCGGACAAACCCAACCAGAACCUUAUUAUAACUAAGAGAGAUCAGAAGCACAAGCAAAUACAGACACAUCACAGGGCAGAGAGCUGCAGCUCAGAAAAGAAACCUUUGUCAAAAAUUGAGAAGGCAAAAGGACAGUCUCUUGGCUCCCAUCAAAUACAAUGGUUGAAAGUAUAACUUAGGCCAGCUCUAAAGUUACACGAAAGCAUUAGACAAAUUAAUUAUACAUAAUUGACAUUGAAAGAAAAUAUUCAUAUCUUUCAAUCAUAAAGCAUAUCAACCAUAAUAAAGCAUGUAAAAAGCAGAUAAAAGGAAACAAGUUAAUAUCAAUCUAAGAAUUUAAUCUGCAAAGCAAGCAUGGUAGCAGGGAUGCAGCUGAAGGAAUAGAACUCGCCUCAAACGCAGAAGUGGGAUGCGUCACAUCUGAUUCAGCCAAGAAGAAACCUUACAGUUCUGUUGAAGAAUGGUCUCUUGAAAAGAAAGGCGGUACCAGGGUAGACACCCAAAAGGUGCGUGAUGUGUUAUAUGUAAUAAGUCAGUCUCUGCAGUACUCGCAAAUAAGGAAGGUACACUGAAUUUGAAUGGUGGAAGUGGCAAUGGGGUGAAACCAACCAUUGAGGGGCUUUCCCCAGACACUGGUGUGUUCUUUCUCUUUUUAUUUACCCACAAAAGAAGAAACAGAUCAGAACCUUGAGUGGUCAGAAUGGUGGCAAGAAAUCCUGAAUUAUCUUGUGAGAUUAGCAGGAGGGAAGGCUUAGUCAUCAAAUGAGUUCUGGAUGAUCCCAGUUUUCAUAUUCAUCAAAUGCAUAUGGACUAGAGAAGCCCAAAGGAUGGAAAACAGGAACCAUCUGCCACUUGAAUGCAAAACAGGGCUAGCAGGUAAGUAAGAGAGAUGUGUCCCACGGUAGCCUGAAAGAGAACCACAGCUCAACCAAACACUGAACACAGUUGAAGGGAGCUGAGAAAGAUGCGGUGGGUUGUCUACGGUUGAUGAAAUAUUGCACAUAGUCUUGAUAAUGCAGAGUAUUAUUUACCCUUGAAGGUUUCAACAAUUGCCUCUGCAUAGCGAAAGGAUGUGUGGAUUGAGAAGCAUACUUUGACCUUGAUGGACUCUGGCGAUGAGCGGCUGCCACAGAACUGCUAUUUAUCUGCCAUGAAAAAAGUAGCCAUCCACAGGGCUUGACUUGCAUGGUUCCCUUUAAAUCUGGAAAGUCACCAUCCACAUCACCCUAACCUUGACUUUACUGUGCUUUACUGCUUCUUUCUGUUGUAUCUUGCAUCUACAGAUGAUGAGAGAAAAACCUAUUCUAAGUGGGAAAGAAUUGCUAAACGAGGAAAUGCAAGCUCCACGUGUGUUGGUUCUGCCCCUGUGUGCUGAGCCCCAGUGAGGGGGAAACGUGGAAAACGUGUCGUACAGACUAGAGCCCAGCAGUGGAAACAACACAGGGCUGGGACUAUCAGGGACUAUUCAGAUAAGCGGUUCUCAAUGGGGAAGGUCCUGUCCCCUAGGGGAAGUUUUGGAAACUUUGGGGGUGUGUUUGAUAAGCAUGCUGGUUAUCCUGGAAUGUGAAGGGCAGUCAUGCAAAAUGAAGUAUUGUUCCCAUCCCACACCACUUUCCAAAGUCGCUCUGGGCAUCAACAUGGGUGAAAUCUGCUGGAUCAUAUGAGCACAGAAUGCACCUCCCAUUCACAUAUGCAUACCAUCUUUUCUACACAGGUUUAGUAUACAUUGCAUAUUCGCUACUAUGGAAAUCCAGGGAAGCUGAUUCUCUUUCUGUUUUUCUUGGAACUUUCCUAAGAUUCUUGUCCAUUCUGGAAAAUCACAUCAGCAACUGAUAGAGUUUGGAUAUCUGUCCCCUCCAAUUCUCAUGUUGAAAUUUGAUCCCCAGUGUAGGAAGUGGGGCCUGGUGGAAAGUGUUUGCGUAGUGAGGUCGGAUCUCUCAAGAAUGGCUUUGUGCCUUGCCCAUAAUAAUGACUGAGAUCUCACUCUGUUAGCUCCAGGGAGGGCUGAUCGAUUGUUGAAAAAAAGUCUGGCACGUCCUUCCCCUACCCUUGCUUCCUCUCUCCCAUGUGAUCUCUGCACACUGGCUCUGCUUCACCUUCCACCAUGACUGGAAGCAGCCUGAGAGCCUGGCACCAUGCUUCUUGUACAGCCUGCAGAACCAUGAGCCAAAUAAACCUCUUUUCUUUAUAAACUCCCCAGCCUUGGGUAUUCUCUUAUAGCAGCACAACAGUCUAAGACAGCAAGCUGAGCUGCUUGGGGUGUGUGAGUGUAAGUCAGCUUGCCUUGAUCAGUCUACACUGGGUGUACAUGUCCAUGGUGAUGUUAACUCACCUCCAGCAUCUGCCUACUGCGUGGUCUACCAGCACCACGGAGCCAGAGUGUUCACGUACUGAGGUACUGAUUAGCCGGUUAUACAUUACUUCCCUUGUAUUCCCCCCAUAUGACGUCAGGGCACUUUGAGCUGUGUAUGUAGAUAAGUCAUAUGACCUUUGCAUUUACUUCAGGGAAUGACAAAGCACUUGUUAUAAAAAGCAGGUGUUGGCUGAAGGUUUGGGGACUGCUGGCCUCAAAGCUUGAACUUGGGCAAGUCCCCUGUCUCUCUGAACUCCUGUGCCGCAGGAAUCAAAAUGAGGGGUUUGGACCAACUCCAAGUCCUGUUCCAUGAUGAGCAGUCCAGAGUGAACAGUUGGAGGUGAGGGCUGUUUGGGGACUGAGGACUUGGAUGAAUCACAGAUCUGAGUGGGACGGGGCAGCAUAAGCCAUCGUAAACCAAACCUCUGCUGCACACACAGAGAGAAACACCACCACGACUUCUACACACGUUUGUGGUUAUAGCAACAGCUGGGCACAUAGUGAUCAUAGGCAGGAGUUGUAUCCGGGAAUAUCAAUGAAGAAAGCUUACCAACACAUGAAGCCAUAAACCAAGCUAUAGGUUCCUUGAGGGAGGGGCCAGCCAUAUUUUUCUGAAGCCUCAUAGAGCACUGGCCACCACAGCCCUCUCCCCAGCAAGCACCUGCAGCCAUACGUGCAGGAGGCCCCAUCAUUUAUGGCACCAAAGUGGAGCCCAGGAUGUGGUGUAGGUAGCAUAGAUAUACAGGGUUUCCUCUAUGCUUUCUUUCAUACACAGCAAAUCAUCUGGCUUUAUUAAAUUGCCUGGCAUUUUCAGAAGACUUCAGUUAUUCUUUCCCCCUCCUUUUGUCCCCAACUAGAGCUGGCCUUUAUUUCCCGGAACAAAACACUGAGGAUAAGGAAAGCGAGAAAGGGAAGUCAGGAAAAGAAUUUACAGUAGGGAAACCUAAUGUGACAGUUCCGAGCCUCUAGAAGGUUCAUGACCCUAAAAAACAAACCAGCAUGUCAGCUUACCUGUUCUGUCCGUUGAAUUUAAAUUUACCUGUUCUGUCCGUUGAAUUUAAAUUUACCUGGCUGUCUGUUGAAUUUAAAUUUCAGAAUCGUAAAAAUAGUUGUGACAUCAAAACGUGCACAGCAUUAGAGCAGCUUCCAGUUCACAGAGGGCGGUGACUCUAGACCCCACGGGCUCCUGCAGAGCUGAAGGCUGCCACAAGCCGCUGGGGGCCUCCCCACAACCCCACCCAGGGCUGCUCGGAAGCCUGCAUGGGCAAGGCUUGUUCUAUUCCAGAGACCUCCAUCAGGCUACACUUUUUUUUCUCAACUCCACCCCAUAAUUGCUCAUGUGCAGCCCCAGUCUUGGCCCUUAAUACUUUGUGCUCACAAAACUCACUCUUCCAAAUGAGUGUUGCAAACCAACCCACAGAAAUGGCUUCCAUGAACCACACCGUAACCCCUACUGAACUAUGCAAAGGUGGGUUUCCAUGUAUCCCUUCAGCUGAGGAAGCAAACCCACACCCUCGGCCAGAGUGGCCUCACAGACUCCCAAGACCUCGUCCCCUGCUCCAGCCCACCUCCACUGCAGAACUAAAGCUGCUGCAAUAAACACCAAAGGGCCACAAGCUCCCUGCGACUUGGGAUAACUAAAGGAGUUGUGUUUGACUUGGAUUUUUAGAAAAUGAAUCUCAUGUAAAUGCGUGAAGGCCAUGAGGAGACUCCUGCUGUGGAUUUGUGGAUGGAAUGAACAUGUACAUAUGCAUACACAUGUCCACAUGUGUGUAUACAUACACAUACAUAUUGGUAUCCCCCUUAAAAUGAAACAGCUUUCUGGCUGUCAUGCUCUGGUGCAUUUUGAAGCAUGUUGAUCAUGCAGUGCCCCGGCCCAGCACACCAGCCAAGGGGCCAGCGCUUACCUCUCUGUGUCAAAGUACGUGUCUAUGUAGGAGUGCGGGGUUCCUGCCACGGCAAAGUUACUGCUUCCAGUGUCAACGAGAAUCUGUAGCUUUUAUGUUUUAAGGAGAAAAAAAAAAUAGAAAGCAUCAAGUUAUUUUAAUAAGGCAAUACUCUUGAAUAAUGUUUUUAAAACUAAGUAGCAAGAAUAAUUUAUCAGUUGGAACAAAAAAAAAGUAUACUGACGAGGAGAAUAGAAAAAGCUAUUAUAAAAUUGAAAUCUGAACAAAGUCCAUGAAGAAGCUUGCACUGGAGAGGGGAAAUGGUCCUGUCUCAGAUACACACUGAGCCUUAAAAGAGAAUGGAUUCUGUUAAAUAACUGGGUUUCCUUUUUAGGCCGUUGGUGCUUGAAACCAAGGCUGAGCUCUUUCUUAUCUCUGGGCUUUCGGCCAGGUUUAGCCCUCCACUGGGCUCACCCUCCCCUUGCUUUUCCAAAUCUCGCCUGGAAACCCCGAUCCAACGUGACCUCCCCUCCCCAGGAUGCCUCCCAGCCUCCUCCUGGCAUGUGGUGGCCCCUCACCUCCAUGCAUGGCACCUGGGCACACCUGUCACAAGCAUUGUUUUUUAGGUUAUUUGAGAUAUAAUUUGCAUAUAAUAAAAACGCAAGAUCUUAAAUGCUCACCUGGUGAGUUUUGGCAUGUGUGCCAAACCAAGAUGCAGAAACUUCUAUUCACCUCAAAAGGUUCCUUUAUGCCCCUUUCCCUUCUGGUCCCCAGAAGCAACCACUUUCUGGCUUUUGUGACCACGGACUGGUUUCAUCAGUUCUUGAACAUUCUAUACAUGUAAUGAUGUAGGCUUCUGUGUGUUUGUUUUCUUAGCAUAGCUUCUUAAGUGCAACUUGUCUUUGAGACGUCCUCAUGUUGCAUCAGCCCUUUGUUUCUCUUCACGAUGCAGGGACACACCAUGAUUUGCCUCUGCUUUCGACGGGCCCUUGAGUUGUGUCCAUUUUGAGGCUACUAUGAAUAAGACAGCUAUGGACACACUGUACAGGUCUUUUUGCAGACAUAUAUUCUCAUUUCUCUUGGGUAAAUACCUAGGAGUGAAACUUUUUGGAUCAUAGACUAGAUAUUUUUUUUUUUUUUUUGAGAUGGAGUCUCGCUCUAUCGUUCAGGCUGGAGUGCAGUGGCACGAUCUCGGCUCAGUGCAAACUCUGCCUCCCAGGUUCACGUCAUUCUCCUGCCUCAGCCUCCUCAGUAGCUAGGACUACAGGUGCCCGCCACCGAGCCCGGAUAGUUUUUUGUAAUUUUAGUAGAGACGGGGUUUCACCGUGUUAGCCAGGAUGGUCUUGAUCUCCUGAAGUCGUGAUCUGCCCGCCUCGGCCUCCCAAGGUGCUGGGAUUACAGGCGUGAGCCACCGCACCCAGCCGACUAGAUACAUUUUUACUGUUUUAAAGAAAAUUGCUGAACACGUCUGCUAUGUGGGUCCACCAAGUUAUAUUCCCAUGAGCAAUGGGUCCAUGGGCCAUUUGGUUUAUGUGCUCUGUAUCCUCCCCCAAAUUUGGUGGUGUUGGUCUUUUCAAUGUGAACCAUGCUAACGGGUGUGGAACGGUAUUUCACUGUGGUUUUAAUCUGCAGUCCCCUAGGGACCAAUGCUAUUGGGCUGUUGCCCUGUAUCCCACUGUUUCACUCAUCUUCCCCAGUGAACGAUGUCUCAGGGCAGGUGUGUAUGUUACUUAUCAUUUUAUGCCCAGCAUCUAUCCCAAGUCCAGACACAUGCCCAGUUGUUUACAGAAUGAACACUUCUUUUAGAAAUAAACACAGACCACGUAGAUAUAGCCCAAAAGGUUGAAAAACAGGUUUAAAAAGCUAUAGACUAAAGAAAUCAAAAUCGGAUGGGCACAGUGGCUCACGCCUGUAAUCCCAGCACUUUGGGAGGCCGAGGUGAGUGGAUCCUGGCUAACACGGUGAAACCCCAUCUCUACUAAAAAUACAAAAAAUUAGCCGGACGUGGUGGCACACGCCUGCAGUCCCAGCUACUUGGGAGGCUGAGGCAGGAGAAUUGCUUGAACCCAGGAGGCAGAGGUUGCAGUGAGCCGAGAUCGCACCACUGCAUUCCAGCCUGGGUGACAGAACGAUACUCCAUCUCAAAAAAAAAAAAAAAAAAAAAAAUCAAAAUAGGCAAGUUUUUGCCUAGGAUUAUCUUACCAACAAUUAUAAAAUAAUUUUGCCAAGGACCUCAGUUUAGCUGGGACCAGUGUUUGUCUCUGAGCUGACCCAUCAGCAGGAUCUGACUCAGUCUCGCUCCCUCUUCCUGGAAAUAUUCUUCACUCUGGAUCCCGGGGCCCCACACUUUCCUGAUUUCCUCCUUCUCUGACUCCUCACUUUAGUCUCACGGACAGGUGCUUCUCAUCUCCCCACCCUGCUGAACUUUCCCGGGGCUCAGCUCAGGAAUCACUUCUGGGAUCCAUCCACUCACACCCUUGGGGUCCCCACUGAGUCUCAAGGCUUUAAAUGCCAUCCGCAUGUUGACGAACCCCAAGUGUACCUCUCGGCCCCGGGCUGCGCAUGCACUCUGGGCUCUACCUAUUCAACACCUUUCCCUGGCUGGCUAAUAGUCAUCUUUUAUGGGUUGAGAUGUGUUUUCCAAAAAGAGAUGCUGAAGUUCCUAACCCCUGCACCUGUGAAUGUGCCCUUAUUUGGAAAAAAGGUCUUUACAGAGAUAAUCAAGUGAAGGUGAGGACCACAGAGGUGAGCUCUAAUCCAGUAUCACAGGCGUCCUUCCAGGGAGACGAAAAUGCACGGAAAGCAGACACACGGGGGGUGCCAAGUAACAGCAGAGACAGGGAUGGGAGUGACGGAGUCACAAGAAUGCCAAAGGACUGACAACCAUGGCCAGGGGCUGGAAGAGGAAAGGACGGCUCCACCUGGAGUCUCAGAGGAUGCAUGGCCCCACCAACACCUUGAUUUCAGACUUCUUGCCUCUAGAACUGUGAAAGAAUACAUUCCUGGGGUUUUUUUUUUUUUUGACAGUGUCUCACUCUGUCACCCAGGCUGGAGUACAGCAGCACAAUCAUCACUUGCUGUAGCCUCAAACUCCUGGGCUCAAGGGAUCCUCUCACCUCAGCCUCCAAAGUAGCUGGGACCACAGGCGUGCACCACCAUGCCUGGCUAAUUUAUUUUUAUUUUUUGUAGAGAUGGGGUCUCACUAUGUUGCCCAGGCUGGUCUUGAACUCCCGGGCUCAAGUGAUCCUCUCGUCUUGGCCUCCUAAAGUGCUGGGAUUACAGGCAUGAGCCACUGCACCUGGCCCAUUCCUGUUGUUUUCAGCUCUCAGUUUGUGUACUUAGUUACAGCAGGUCCAGGAAACAUCUUGAGAUGGGACAUCAUCUCACGCCUGGCGUGUCCCGAAUUGAGCUCCAGCUGCCCCCACCCCUGCUCUCCUGGUGGACUUGACCAUCUCGGUCGACAGCAGCUCCAUCAGGUCAGGCCAGGCCAUGCCGGAGGUGAUCCCUAGGGCUUCCUUCCCCUCAUGGCCCACAUCCAGCCACCAGGAGGUCCCGAGGGCUCCACCUUCAGGUUCUGGCCCACACCGGCCCACCCCUCACCUCCUCCAAGGAGUCUGUGGGGGUCCACACCACUGUCAUCCCCUCCUCGUCCUCACUGGUGUCCCUGCUUCCUUCCUAGGCCUACUUCCAACCAGCAGCCACCACAGUCCUAUUACAGUUAAGUCAGAGGGAGUCAGCCCUCCACCUCCCAUGGCUCUCACGUCACCCAGAGUAACUGGCGAAGUCCUCACAUGGCCUGCUGAGUCACUCGCCAUGCCCUGACAUCACUCCUCCCAGCCACGCUGACCACCAGGCCACUCCGUGAAAGCCCCAGACAUCCCCCAGGGGCAGGGCCUUUCCCCUGGCCACCUUGCUGGGGUGGGGGCUCUUCCCCAGGAUACCCAGGUCCAGGUCCAUGUGGCACGGCCCAUCGCUCCCUUCCAGGCUUCCUUCAACGCCACCUUCUCCACGAAGCUGACCCUGGCUGGCCCUUUGGGAGAACUGCUGUUCCCAGUCUCCUGCCGGCCUGUGCAUCCCUUUCCCUCCCAUAACACCACACCUUUCACAUAACAGUGACAGCAGACACUGAACACCGCCUGCAGUGGGCUGGGCACUGCUGUACGUGCUUCCUAUAUCCAUUAGCUUAUUUCAACCUCAUAACAGAGCUCUGAGGGCAGCACAGUCCUCACUCCACGUCACAGAUGCAAACACUGAGGUGCAGAGAGUCUGACUUGCUCAACUCUACAAGGGUAAGUGGCAGAGCUGAGGCUGGAACCCAGAGUCAGACUCCGAGCGCAUUCUUGUAACCAACUCAGCCACUGCCUGGGCCCCGUGCGCAAUCAUGCCAUUCACGGGGUCCCGACAGCUCCUGCUGCCUCCGCCCCACCAGCGUGAAGCCUCCCUCUGACAGGGAUUUUUGCUGUUUGCUGCUCUGUCUGCCGUGCAUGCCUGUAACAGGGCCAGGCACACAGUAGACACUGACACUUUUUUUUUUUUUUUUUUUUUUUUGAGACAGAGUCUCGCUCAGUCACCCAGGCUGGAGUGCAGUGGCUCUAUCUCAGCUCACUGCAAGCUCCUCCUCCUGGGCUCACGCCAUUCUCCUGCCUCAGCCUCCCGAGUAGCUGGGACUACAGGCUCCCGCCACCACGCCCAGCUAAUUUUUUUGUAUUUUUUUAGUAGAGACGGGGUUUCACCGUGUUAGCCAGGAUGGUCUCGAUCUCCUGACCUCGUGAUCCACCCUCUGCGGCCUCCCAAAGUGCUGGGAUUACAGGCGUGAGCCACCGCGCCCGGCCGACACUCACACAUUUGUGGAAUCGACAACAAAAUUAUUUGCAAAGGUAAAAUCAAAGACACUCGUUUUGCCCUUGGUACAAAGAUAACAGAUUCCAAAAUAAUAAGCAAGAAUAAUGCAGUCUGUGCACACAAACCAGCUGUGUGUAGGUUCUGCACACACAGUUUUCGAGCUGUUGGCAGAAACUGUCAGACUCCUACUUCCCUAAUGUACUAAGUGCCAUUGCCCCUUCCCCUGCAGGAGGCCAUGGAAAUAGUGGAGAGGAAUGAACGACAGUCCUGGGCAUCUGCCAGGGGCAGUGCUGUAACCUGUGGUCACACCCCUGUGUUUUCUCAAACGAAAAGCUACUUUGUGACUUCAGAGAAUUCCCUCCCGACCAAUGAAGAUCAUGUUCACAAAAACUUUGUAGGAAUGGUAGGGAAACAGAUUUGGGGGAUGAAGGUUUGAAGUGAAUCUAAAACAAUGGCAAAGGCACUCUACUGUUUUUUUUUUUUUUUUUUAAUAUACUUUUUUUUUGAGAUGGGGUCUCACUGUGUUGCCCAGGCUGGUCUUGAACUCCUGACUUCAAGUGAUCCACCCGCCUCAGCCUCCCAAAGUGCUGGGAUUACAGGCAUGAGUCACCACACCUGGCCAGCAAAGGCACUCUAAAUAAUGAGACUAUAAAUGUUACUUUAAACCUCUUCGUUUUAGUAAAUGAAUGCUCUAUUCUUAAUUUCGAUUUACAAAUACACAGCUCCUAGAAAAUGUGUAAGAGCUUGCUCCUUUACAGAGGUGUUUGGGUUGAUUUCAGAUAGAAUGUAAUCUCACAUAUAUAAAAAUAUAUUUACAUAUAUAUAAUGUAUUAUAUAUAAUAAUUUAUUAUCUGGUUCUUCAUCCAAAUAUUAGAUGCUCAACAGCCCCAAGUUUCAAAGCCACAGUUUGGGUUAGAUUUAAUCCUAAUUUCUCAUAAACGUACAAAAGGGCAUGAAAGAUUGUGAAAUACGUAUGUGAUUUCAUCCCCAUUUCCUGGCAUACAACUCCUAAAAUCUCUGGAAUCUCCAAAGUGAUGUGUUUUUGUAUGCUGUGAGUUGACUGAUGGCUGGCAGCCCCUAGGUAGCUUCGGGAUGGGGGCUGGUCACCAGAAAGAGCAAGGCGGGAUUAGAGGACUGGGACUUUCAGCCCCACCCCCAACCUUGGGGAGUGGGGAGGAGCUGAAGGUUAAGCUGAUCACCAAUGGCCAAUGGCUUAAUCAAUCAUGUCUACAUAACGAAGCUUCCACAAAACCCCAAAAGAACAGGGUUCAUUAAAUUUCCAGACAGCUGAGGUUCCCGGAGGGUGGCGUGUACAGGGGGGGCACGGAAGUUCUGUACCUGUCCCCCUAUACCUCAACCUACACAUCUCUUCAUCUGUAUCUUCUGUAACGCCCUUUAUAAUAAACCAGUGUACAUGUCUUCCUGAGUUCUGUGAGUAAAUCUAGCAAAUUAAUCAAACCAAGGAUAGGAUCCUGGAAAUCUUCCAUUUGUAGCCGAUCGAUCAGAAGCACAGGCAAUGACCCGGAGCUCGCAACUGGCAUGGAAGCUGGGGGCAGUCUUGGGGGACUGGGCCCUCACUCUGGGGUCCCACGCCAUCCCCAGGCAGACAGUGUAGGAACUGAACUAAAUUAGAGGAUACGCAGCUGGUGUCUGUCGCAGAACCGAUCGAUUGUUUGUUGGUGAGGAGAAAUCCCCGCACAUUUGGUCCCGGAAGUCUUCUGUGUUGAUCGUUGUGGUGUGAGAGCAGAGGGAAAUCAGUGUGUGGUUUUUCCACUUAGAGGACACCAAGCAAAUCUGCAUUUACAUGGAUUUCACAGGAGAGAAAUUGUUGGAGGCUGAGUAAUUCUUGCAUGUAUCAAAUAGUCAGUAACAGGUCAAAGUAAGUGAAGGAGAUCCGUCCCUAGGUCAGUCUGGUUGAACCAGAUAUUCCUGAAGGACAGGGUUCUCUCUUUUUCUGCUCUUAAAUAAUAAACACUAAGUUAUCAGUAACUCACCACAACCUGAUUCUCAAAGGGGGCAGGCAUAUCAGAAUCCCUGCACCAUUUUUAAACAUUCCCCCAAACUGAAUUAUUUUAAGAGAUGAAUUUAUCAAUUUGCAUCCAAUUAUACACAUUUUUCCUCAUCCUAUCUCUUCCUAUGUGACACUGUCUGCUAUAAUGUUUCUUCUUUUAUUCUUUUCAUCUUUACUAUACAGAUUUCUGGUGUUUAAUAAUUGUUCUGGUGAACUGCAAGCUUUACAUCUAUUUUUAAAUUAUUCUAGUCAUUUUCUUUACAAUUUUAUGUGAUAUAUCUUAACCUCUUCUCUUGAUUUAGCAACUUAGAAUGAUAUUUUUGGGAUCCCCACUCUGCACACUUCUAAAAAAAUCAAGAAUUGGCUGGGCGCGGUGGCUCACGCCUGUAAUCCCAGCACUUUGGGAGGCCGAGGCAGGCAGAUCAUGAGGUUAGGAGAUCCAGACCAUCCUGGCUAACACAGUGAAACCCCGUCUCUACUAAAAAUACAAAAAUUAGCCGGGUGUGGUGGCGCACACCUGUAGUCCCAGCUACUCGGGAGGCUGAGGCAGGAAAAUCGCUUGAACCCGGGAGGCGGAGGUUGCAGUGAGCUGAGAUCACACCACUGCACUCCAGCCUGGUGACAGAGCGAGACUCUGUCACAAAAAAAAAAAAGUCAAGAUGUUUGGAAGGGACAGGGGGUGCUCCAGGAUAGGGAGUGAUGGGAAGAAGUGCUGGAUUAUAACAUUAUUUUUACUUUCAUGAUAUGCCUUUUUGUAAUUUUACAUAAUGCAUGAACAUCUUUCUUUUUUACCUACCUGCCAAUAUUUUUUAUUUAUCAUCUGUCAGAAUUUCCUUCCAUUAAGGAAGAUGAGGUGGUGAAUGUACCUAUGUCACCAGGAAUCUGAGUCCCACCAACCUCUCCAUAGGUUACACUGUUGUUUAUAUAUUUUCAAGAUUUGUUUUUGAUACCCAUAUUUCCCACAGUUGCUUAGUCAUUCUAUAAGGAAAGAGGUUCUCUCCUUCCUACCAGUCCUCCUGUCUCUGACUUCACCCAGCUCCCCAAUGGCUAGGUUUUGUUCAGCCUCCCACGGGCCCCACCCAAAGUUGGACACCAUCUUCCCCAAGGGCUUUCAUGCUUGCGAGCACCUAUCCAUGGCCUUUACACUUGAAGAAUGAUCUGCCUGGGUUUUGUGCAUUUGGGUCAUAUUUUUUUUCUUAACACUUUAUAUAUAUGUUUCUCCAGUGUAUUUCAACAGUGAGUAUUUGUGGAGAAAUCUAAAGCAUGUCUUAUUUUUCCUCAUUACACGUGACUUUUUCUCCUUGGUUACUGAAGAAUUCUUUCCAUAGCCACAAAGUUCUAUAGUUGUAUUGUUUAUAUUAGAACCAUCGUUCUGUAGUUUUACUGACAUAUCUUAACAUUGGUUGGUCUGAUUCAAGUUUCCUGGAAAACGGGACUCACUUUUUACAUUAAUUUCUUAUGGCUGCCUUAACAAACAGCCACAAACUGGUUGGCAUGAGAUAAUAUACAUUUAUUUUCUGGCAGUUCUGGAGGUCAGAAGUCCAAAAUCUAGGUGUGGGCGGGGCUGCGCUUCCCACAGAAGCUCCAGGGGAGGGCCCUUCUUGUCUCUCCCAGUUUCUGGUAGGGGCUGGCAGCCCUCAGGCUGUGUCAUGGAGGCGUGUCCCCAGGCCUCCCACUCACUUGCUGCUGGCCGCCGCCUUUACUUGCUCCGUCCAUCUUCAAGGCUUGCCGGCCUCCAGGCCUCCUUGCUGCCUGCCGAGCUGGCUCUGUGACACCUUCUUUGCAUCCAGCUUAGGAUUAUCACAAGAGCAAAAGCCACUUCUAUGGCUGAUGUGAAAAGAGCAAGGGCCGGGACCUAAACCAUCACUGGGAGGGGGCUCCAAAGUACAACGUGUCCAGCACCCAGGCUGGAAAGCACCGAGGCUCAACCAGCAGAUACCUCGCCAAAGCUGCCAUGAGCUGCCACAGGGAAGGCACAGGGCCCUGAGUGUUCACCACUGUCUCUGUGUUGGGGAUUUAAAUGCUUUCUGGAGGCAAGAUGAAUUUGGAAGUUGCUUGGCUAAAACGGGGUAAAGAGGGAAAGGAGGGGGGUAAAGAGGUAAAGGAGAGACAGAAAACAAACACACAAAAAUUCCUUUACAAGGCAAAUCAGAGAAUACUAGGGCUUGAGAAGAGGACAGUGUGGAUGUUAGGCAAGAAACAUCAAUCGCCCUAAAAAAAUAACUAAUUGCACAACAGUAGGAAAUACGUUUUCUUGGCCAUUGAAAGUCACAGAUAAGAACAGCUCUAGAUUGGGCCGGGCGCAGUGGCUCACGCCUGUAAUCCCGGCACUUUGGGAGGCCGAGGCGGGCAGAUCACGAGGUCAGAGUUCAAGACCAGCCUGACCAACAUGGUGAAACCCCGUCUCUACUAAAAAUACAAAAAUUAGCCUGGCGUGGUGGCACACACCUGUAAUCCCAGCUACUCAGGAGACUGAGGCAGGAGAAUUGCUUGAACCCAAGAGGCAGAAGUUGCAGUAAGCCAAGAUCGCACCACUGCGCUCCAGCCUGGGUGACAGAGCGAGACUCCAUCUCAGAGAAAAAAAAACAAAAAAAGAACAGCUACAGAUUUCUGAACAAGACCAGCCUUCCUCCCUGUGCCCACUGUCCAUCGUGGAAGCUGUUUCACAACCAUUUCUGGGUCUCGCUGGCAACUCUGCACUCAGUAGCUCAGGAGAUCCCACACCCGGCCGGUCAGGCUGGCAACGCACGUCCGCGCUGACUGCGACUGCGUAACUAGACAGGGCCAAGGCAGGAACAAGACUUGCCCUCCACACAGCAGCCCCAGUGACAGGGGGACUCUCUCCAGAGACGCUUCACCCUGCUUCCCUCCCUCUGAAGCUCCACCGCAGCCUCUGCAUUGCCUCAUGACCGGAGCUCGUUCUCACACGCCCAGACCCGGUCCUGCCUCUCAGGGGGUGUCACUCCUCCGCAGAGGCAGGGAACACAAAUGCAGAGAAAGUCAGACCAAAGUGUGGACUGCAUUCUUUUACACAGGUGAUUUCUUCUCAUUGCCCAGGCAUUCAGCACAACCUUAUCUUCCGUGGCAGUUCCAGCAAAAGCUAGUUUUCAAGAAGGUUCAACUCAGAGUCACAGCUUGGCAAAGCCAGUCACCACGAUGGUCGUUCCUGGAGCAUAUGAUCUGAGAGAAAUGGCCCCAAAUAAAUAAGGCAGCCACAGAGUCAGGCAAGGGCUGAGUCUCCAGGGCACAGUAAACGCUCUGGGCUGUACAUCACAUCAUGUGUCUGAGCGGCCCGCAGGAGCCACCACCAUUUUCUGUGUGGUGACACUGGAAAUGGACCUUUCUCGUGUUGAAUUCUAGCCAGGACCAUCACCCACUUUCACAAGUAGCCUCAACCACAGAGAUAAAAAUAGUAAUGCCACCUGCUCUAUAAAUUUCACACGACGCGCUCUCAAACAACGGAAAACUCAAACACCCCGGCUGUGGGCUCCUUCCAGGUUCCUCACCUCAUGCCACAUGCUAGCAAUUUAAUCUGCCCCUUCCUUUAUUCUAGGAAUUUCCAAAAUUAUUUCCUGCCUCUUUGGGUUCAACCUCACGUGCAUGUAUGCAUGUAUUCACACACACACACACCAGCCUAGCCCUGGGCCAUGUCCCUCCAGCUACAUAAAAGGUCAUUGAAAAUAUAUAUUCUCAAAUUCAGGGAAUGUUCUUAACUUCCAAGCAAAGCAUAACUUAAAAUGACUCAAAAGCUCAUACGAUAGACAGAUCCCCACUUUACAUCUGAGGAAAACAGAAACGCCUUGGAGAUGUGAAACAGCCCAUGGAGGUCCCGACGUCCCCGCCCCUGUUCCCUGCUUCCUUCCUGAUACUAGGGAGCCUCCCAUAGAAGUCACAUUCCAUUUUUCCAGAACACAAUCACAACUAACAAAAACCGGUUUUCCAGCAGAAGCUGGAUGGAGUCUUCUACCUUGAAAAUCACUGGCUUUUAACUACUCCAACCCUGCCGCCAACAUCAGCGGCCUCGAGGGCCUUUGCAGGGCAGAUGUGGGUCUUUGCUGUGCUGAACCUGGGGCAUGGGGUGAGAGCAGCAAAGAUGAUGGUGCCUGUGUCCUGGCCCCUGCAGAGUGCAGCAUCUAGUAGGGAGAAUGGCCUGUCCACCAGGACCUGCCCUUGAAAACCAUCUGUGAUCCAAGCUGCCAGAGACCUAAGGAGGUGGAACUGCAGGAACUCAGUGGCUAAUUUCUUCUCGCCUUCCUAAAAAUGGCAAAACCCAAAACACACUCCCUCCAGCUACUGUUCCUUCCCCCUUUGCGGUCAAGCAUCCAGCAGUGGGCCACCUCCCGUCUCAAUUCCUUUCUCUCUUUCUCUCCUCCACCUGCAGAGAUGGAGCUUCUGCCUCAGCUCUCCAUGGCCGGCCAAGCUCACCAGUGACCUCCCGUGCUCCAGGCCCACGGUCAUCUCUGAGCUCUCCCCUGACCUGUCCAGCCUGCAGGCAGUGCUGGCCGCAAGUGACCAGGCCUCAGUGAAGCUUUGGAAAUGCGCCCUCCUGGUUUGCCCCCCACAGUCCUUCCUUCUGAUCUCUGCCCUCCCCCCAUACCUCUUCCUCUAACUUUACAUGGUGUUCCCAAGGCUUCUGUGCCCCUGUCCUGGGUGCAUCACCGUCACACAGGAGCCUGUCUUCUCCAGAUAAUGUCCCCAGCACAGUGCGCCCUCCAUGACAGCUGACAGUAGGGCCACAUGUGGCUCAUCUCUUUGUCACCAGUACCUCAGACAGUGCCUGGGAGCCUAGUAGGUGCUCACUAAACAGUUGUUGAAUGAAUAAAUGAAAGUCAAGGUUAGAGAGACGUUCAUGCAGUGAAGGGCAAGUGGCAGAAAUGCACAUUCCAGGCAAAAGGAAGGUGGCUUGUUCAUUUCUAAAGCAAAUCUCUUGAGCACCUACCAAUUAUACAGAAAAUCUGAGAGUAAAAGAGUUUAGAUGAUCUAUUCCAGAAGAUGUGUGAAAAUUCUAUGCCCCCACGAUGAAAACUGUUCGUCUUUGGCAUAGACUUCCUUGACAAUAUGCCCCAGUUCCAGCAGCCCUGCCCAAAACCGCAUCAUCAGAUUUUACAAAAUAAUUAUAAAAGAGGGAUGACCAUUAUGCACACAUCACGGAUGGGUAGGAACUAGACAUGUCCUGAACGUGGACGUCUUCCUCCUGUGUCACAAGCCCUUUGAGAACAAUUCUACCCUCCCAUCAAACAAAUUCUGUCCACACUUCACUGAGCAGAAUGACUGAAUGCACGCAGGGCUUGGGGUCCAAUCUCCCUCCACCAUUCAUGUACCAGUGCCUGGCACCUGGAAGAGGUGGGUUCCUCUCCCCAGAUCUCUCUGCACCCUCCCUCUUCUAGGAAAGGGGGUGAUGACCAUUCUCAUGGGGUGCUUGUGAGAAGUAAAUGCUGUGACACGUGCUCCUCAUGGUGCUGGCUCACGGUGAGUGAGCAAAUAAACACUAGCGCCGGUUCCACGUGCAAUUUUAGCCAGCAAGGUGUGAAAACUGAGUAAACUGAGUUUGCCUCCUGGUGACCAGGGACACACAGUCCACAGCAUCCCAUGGCACUAAAACCUCUGGACAAGGAAAAUGGCUGAUUCUGGAGCAAUUUGAUUCUAAAGGAUUUUUCAGGAAGAAUCCUUUAGAACUGUUCUUGGAAACAGUCAAAACUUUCUCCCCAUGCCGGGCCCUGCCCAGACAAAGCUUACUCUUUUUUUUUUUGAGACGGAGUAUCGCUCUGUCACCCAGGCUGGCAUGCAGUGGCGCGAUCUUGGCUCACUGCAACCUCUACCUCCCGGGUUCAAGCGACUCUCCUGCCUCAGCUUUCUGAGUAGCUGGGACUACAGGCACCCACCACCAAGCCUGGCUAAUUUUUUUGUAUUUUAGUAGAGACGGGGUUUCACCAUGUUGUUCAGGCUGGUCUCAAACUCCUGACCUGGUGAUCCGCCCGCCUUGGCCUCCCAAAGUGCUGCGAUUACAGGCGUGAGCCACCGUGCCCAGCCAGCUUACUCAUUUUUUUCAACAGCAUGAUUUGUGGGGUUUGAUAUUCCUUAUUUUGUUUUGAUGCAAGUAGAAACCACCUCUCACCCCUUCUGCCUGCUGGCUGAGAGUAAACGAUAAACCGUACAAAGGCUGUUGCCUUUGAGACCCAUGCUAAGUCCUGCGUUCCCCAGAAGGCCUCCCAGCUGCAGCUCUGAUUUACUCCUCUCUGACAGCUCAUGCCCUGAUUUUUGGUGUCUAGGGUUGUCUCGUGUCUUUUAUUGUCCUCUAAUGUUUCCCGGUUUCCUUUCUUUCCUCUCAAUGAGCUUGUAAAUUCCUUAAGGACAAAGCUCUUCUUCUUAGUCUCUUUUUGAUGGUCCCCACAGUGCCUGCAACUAAUAGGAAUUCACUAAUCACUUGUUCCUUCAGAUGGGGAAGCAUGUCCAUGAGCCCCCACCUGGGAGCAGAGAGAAUGCCAAUUAGGUCAACAAACCUGCCAAGAAGUUGGAAGUAGCCGGAGAAAGUUCAACAGGCCAAACUCCUAAAUCAUGUGUGCAAAGAAUUAAUUUAGAUUUUCUAGACAUGGCAAGGGUAGGCUAAACUUAGUCAACUUCCCAGCUGCUAUAUAAAUAACCACAAACUUGUCUCUUAAAUGUCCAAGUAUAAGCAAAGCUAGAAGCGAGAAGACAGCAGAGAUUGCUGGUGGCCUACCCAUAUUCCUUGGGCACUCACUUCAGCUUCUGUAACCUCAGGAGUGAGAUUAUCUAGUGUCCAAGUCAGGUCUGACGUACCAGGGAGUGAAUGCUCCUGGGAGCAGCCCUUGACCAAAAAUAAACAGCUGGUGGGUCCAAACCGUUGCUCCCUUACUCCCCAGGCAAACAGUUUGGAGUGGUCUCUGUGUCAUCCCCCAGAAGUCCUUGGUGGGGUUGAGCCCCAGAUGUGCACUGCAAUAGCCCACUCUGAGUGCACCCUGUAUUGACCUCCUCCUCCCGCCUACCUCACUUUCCUGCCCCCUACCAGUGUCUCAGGGUAGGGAGAGUGAGAGAAGUUAUACUCACACAGUCCUCACCUUAUGCUCUGCUGUGCUCUGAAUGUCUGUGCCCUGACCCCUAACUUUGUAUGAUGAACCCUUAUUCCCAACGUACUGAUAUUAGGAGGCAAGGCCUUUGGGAGGCAAUUAGAUCAUGAGUGUGGGGCCCUAAGAGAUAGGAUUAGUGCCCUUACAAAAGUACGUGAGAGCGCUCGCUCAUCCCUUUUGCCAUGUAAGGAGACAGAGAGAAGGCACUGACUCUAUGAAGCACAAAGCCCUCACUAGACCUCAAUCUGCCAGUGCCUGGGUCUUGGACUUCCAGCUCCCAAAACUGUAAGAAAUACAUGUCUGCCAUCAAUAAGCCACCCAGUCUAAGGUAUUUUGUUAUAGCAGCCCAAAUGGACUAAGAGAAGCUUUCUGAAGGCCAAAUAUCCUUUAAUGCAGAGACUAUGAAAUAAACAAGAAAACAGUGGUCGAGAAAGCUAAGAGCCUCCUCGGCUAGAAGCCAUGGUCUAGCCACCAAUCUGCCACCUGGAUGAAACCUAAACAGACUGUGGACGUCUCCCACUGUCCCUUCUUAAUCUCUGGUUGAUGCACUGGGCAAUAACCCUACAGAAAGCCAUUUGCUAAUUGCUGCAAUAAGGUAAAAUGUUGCAUUAAAGGGAAAAACUGGGCGAUUCAUCUAGUUAGUGAUUAGCAGCCUGAGAUUUCUCAGAUAUUACUCUCUCUAUUUCAGCAGGUUAAUAGAUAGGAAAAUUAGCAGAUAAUUUAAAUAAUGGCUCAUUUAACACAACGAUUCCUAAUUAUAUUAGCAGCCCAUCUGCUGAAGUCUGCCGGCAAGCCGAACCCACAGCAGCAGUGGCCUCUGCAGCCCAGCCACGCGGGGCUGUUUGCCCACAGUUAUUACAUAUGAUUGUAGGCACUGAUUCUGUUAAUCAGGCUCUUUCAGCGCUUCAGUUCUAGAAAUGAAUCUCAUUUACUUAAACACAUCUUGUUGAAGAAAGCAAAAAUAAUUGUCAUGCGCCAUUUCUCCACAAUCUAAAAUUAAGGUUGUUUUUAUAAAGGGAGGGGGGAAUCAUUUUCAAAGAGCACCACUUAACACAAACAGAUGUUACAGAACUUAGCUAAGAGGAGCUUGAUUAUACAAUUUAUUCUGGCUGUGUGUGCAUGUGUGAGAGUGUGAGCCAUUUCACUAUUGCUGUACAGGCUCCUACUAGAAAGACACAUGUUGAGAGACACAUGGAUACCUGGGCUCCUCUUGGGAAAACCACAGCUGCCAAGUGGACGGUGGCAGUGAAGGGGGGAGAGGGAUGGGGAGGGGGGAAUGGGGAUGGGCUUGGCUGCCUGAUUCUGGAAUGUGGUGGUUUUCCACCAAAUGCUUAGCAUUUAGCAGUGUUCACUUAAAAAAAAAAUCAACACAAUAUUUAUACAUUUGGGAAGGUGAAAAGAAUACCUUCUUAUAAAGGUGCAAGGCGGCCAUCCUGCAGUCUGGGAAGUGUGCCUUUGUGCAAGAACAGAGACAGGCACUUUGAAGGAGGAGGGGUUGGGGAAGGAGCUUUACGCUGAAUGGGUUGGCUAAACAUACAUAUUCAGCAGUUUACAGGAGGAACUAUGAAUAUUCAUGAAGGUGGUCCUGAUGCACGCAUAUUGAACAUCCAUGUGACAUGCCUCCUGUGUUCACUCUGGGCUGGAGUCUUAACAUUUAAGUGUAUCACAGUUAGGCCCUAAAUGUCAAAAAGGUCUUUUCAGGACUUGAAGGCACUCAAGUGAGCAGCCUCUGUAAAGCAACCAGAGCCAGUCCACUGUCAGGGGUCUCUUAUCUGGAGGAGGUUCCUGAAGUCAGUCUCCUGCCCAAUCCGAGCUGCAGUCAUGGCUGUGGAACGGGGUCAGUCUGCGUCUGUGGGCGGAUGAGCUGCAGUCAUUUGAAUCUGGCUGAUCUCCGGGCCGGUGAGUGUUUUAGCUGCUGGAGAAAAAGAAGACGCUGUGCCAUGAGAACAGAAUCCGUUCUCUAAGUGUAGAGUACGCGGCUCAACCCUUGCCUGGCGUGACCUGAGGUUGCUGCUUAUAAGUUGGUAUCUUGUUGCCACAAACAGUCUGUUCUAUUCUCUAUUUUAACAUUAGUACUGGUCAGCCGUUGUGCCUAAACCAUAAAAGGGAGAAAGUGUAACAAGGUGUGUCUGAUCUCCUGUCCCAUCAUGGCUGAGAACUAAGUUUUUAAGGUUUUUUUGGGGGGUCUCCUUGGCAAAAAGAAGGGUCUGUUCAGUUGGUGGGGGGCUUAGGAGCUUACUUUUAGUUGACAGCAGGUUGAUACCAACUGUGGAGGUUGAAGUUGAGGGAGCAGUAUUUAGGGUGUAGGAGGCCCGUUUUAAGAACCUAAGAGAUCACUCAAAUCCAAGUCCCCAAAUCCUAAUUCUUCUGGACCUGGGAGCUGUCACUACCUCUGCAGCUGAAACCUCGUUCCUGGGGUGAUAGGUUGGUUAGGGGGAAGGGGGACCUCCCUGACUGAGUUUUGAAACUUUCCAAAUAACACACAUCCCUUAUGAAGAGUAGAAAGGACACAUUUCUACAACGGGGAGAGGUUUCAUCCCAAACCCAUAGCCAACGCCCUUAAACAUAUUGGGAACUAUGUCCUUUCAUAACAUUCACAGGAUGCGAGUUUCACAUUCAUUUCCUAGCCAUGGUCCCAGGAUACACCUGUGUCUUCUCCAUGCAGGAAAGGAUAGUGACUUCAGGGUGUGCUGGACCGAGAUUCUAACCCCAGCUCAACCUCUUGUUCGCUGCAGAAUCUGAGGGUUGCCACCCUCUCUGAGCCUCAGCCCCCUUGUCUGUACCCUGGGUUAAUAAAGAGUGUUGCUCUGAGCAUCGUGCCUUGUCCUGCCUCUAUAAAAGCACCUGGCACAGUGGUGUUUGAACUUAAAGAGGGGUAGUGCGGCUUUUUCUCGUUACAGGGCUGUUUCUCAAAUACAUCACUCUGCAGAAAAAGGCACGCAUCAAAUUAUCCACCAGACUGGCAUUCCUUAUCUCUGCACUGAAACCCGCAGAGGUAGUGUCAGCCACACUCCCAUGUCCAGAAGGCAGCUCCUCCCUCAGAUGGACUCCUUAUCAUCUCCGAACAAACGGGGACCACACAGGCCUCCCCCUGGGAACAGCCUGGGCACCUCUGUUCCCUCUCUUCCCAGCCCGGCUCGGGCGAGUGGAGGGAAGCAGCAAGGAUGGACUUUCCUGCUGAUAGGAUUUCACGCCCUCUCCCACCCCCAGAAGGCGCAGGCACCUGCAGUCACAGGGGCUUUAAUCAGAAUCAGAAUCCUUAUUGCUGCUAGUCUGGACACAGACCGGCAGUGGUGUGCACAAUCUCCAUGGCCUGGCGGUGUGUUCAGCAGUCCUCCCAGGGUGCACAUGGGCUGCAACCCAGGGUGGACAUAACCGCACGACAGAACGUUUGGGAGCGGCCUGAGUGUCAGCACCACCUGUACGUGGCUGCAAGAGGGCAACGUUCCAGCUGGGAAUGCUCCAAUCCAAAGGUAUCCUAGGCUAUGGUGAGGAUGCCUGCUUUUUAAUCCCACCCUGGCAGGUGGUUGUUCUGCCCCUGGCUGCCCAGCUCUCCUGAUCCAGGUGCUGCCUCCACGGAACUCCCACCUUCCCUACCCCUAGGGGCUGUUUUUCUCCCUCUGGUAGCCACCUUGGUGUGCAACUGACAUCUUUCAGUGAUGGGUGACCCAGGCAGAGAUGGGGAGCAGAGGGCAGGGUGGGGUGGCAGGAACUAAAACAAAACAAACACCCCCAUCCUCAGCAGCCCCUGAGCCCUCAUACCCUUACCCUGUACCCCUGCCAUCCUGCCCCCUGCAUCAGAAUCAGAAGAAUUCUGGACACGGGAGAGGCACUGAAACCCUCAGAGGUAGUGUCAGCCACUCCCAUGUUCAGAAGGCAGCUCCUCCCUCGAAUGGACUCCUUAUCAUCUCCGAACAAACGGGGACCACACAGGCCUCCCCCUGGGAAUAGCCUGGGUACCUCUGAAGUCCUCUCUCCUCUCUUCCCAGCCCGGCUUGGGCGAGUGGAGCAGAGCAGCAAGGAUGGACUUUCCUGCUGAUAGGAUUUCAUGCCCUCUCCCACCCCCAGAAGGUGCAGGCACCUGCAGUCACAGGGGCUUCAAAUACUGUUUUCACCCCUGCAGAAGACACCGUGCGGUCCUGCGUGCACUGCCCACAUUCCCCUCUGGUGGAGGCCAAGGUGUGGGGAGAGCAGUCACUUGGAAGAGAAAGAGAAACUAAUCCUGUAGGCCACCACCCUUAGAAAGGUGUGUCUGUGGGUUUUCUCGCUCUUGGUCACAUUCUUACAUGUGGGUCGUGACUUGGUUUGUUCCACUUAACAUCCUAAGGCUCUGUUCCUCCUUAGGUGGCUGUGUAUGGGAGACGACUUUUGCCUGCAUUCCUCUCCCUUCCUAAGGCCCUAGCGGUAUGAGCUUGGUUUAGGGCUGUCUGGCCAGUGAUAGGCAGAACCAGGGCCAGAAUCAGGCAACGUCACCAUUGUAAGCGGGGCCACAGAGCAGCAUGCCUGAAGACAGGGUGUCCCAGCUGAGAGCACUGGCUGCUUGCCAAGAGACUGCAUAUGACUGCGUUGCCUUCAGGGAUCACCCCCGACCAGGGUCUGAUUCUCACUCUGCCUCUUGGAUGCAGAAACCAAACAUGGACUGAAAGGGGAGCAGCCGUAAGCAGCCUCACUCCAACCAAGCUUCCGCAGAUGUGGGCUGGAGGCCAGAGAGCCUGUGUUCCUUUGCAACAGGGGCUAUUCAGUGACAGGUGAGCUGGAUGUUUUCUUCUGCUCCAACAGUCCCUCCUGCACCAGGAGGGAGAUCAGUGGGGCGGGGUUGGGGAGGCAGAGAGAGAGAACAAGGAGUGCUUUCUCUAUAGAGCAUGCCACUGUCCCACUCUCUCCCUGGGACUGGAGUUUCCCUGGAAGCCUCUGAGGUUACACAAUCUGUCUUCCAGCAGGAUGCGAUCCUACUGACUAACGAAUGAAGACAUAUUUAAACAGUCAUGUGUGAGCGCAUUCACUGAUGCCAGUGAAAACAAUGAUCCUUUUCCCAUGCAAGAGAAAAUUCACACUCAACCACUUUUAAGAAAACAAACUAUUAAAAAGGACAAAAGAGCUCUGACCUUCAUACUUUGAUGAUAGUUGGGGAGGGGGAUAAGUAGAAUAACAUUUCUAUUAACAGGGCUAAUUAGCUUCUUCCUUUCCCAAGCGACAACUAAAGCCACUCCGAAAGAACCCCUAAGAACCCAUUAUGCAUUUCCCAAAAUUUUAGGACAUGUCAUUUUACCUACAAAUUAGUUCUUCCUGCACAUUUUCUAAAGAAGUGUGAAUAAAUUCUUAUCAAAGGUGUAAUGUCUUAGUUCUCAAGAUGUUUCUGGAGUUUCACUAAAUGUUCUCUUUUGCUCAAGAGUUGAUGACAGCAAUUGAAGACCCACUCCAAACCUGAACUUACAGAAAAAGAACAUCGUUAACUUUACCCUAGUUACCAACAUUCAAAUUUUGUCACAAUUUUAAAUAAACAUAAAAAAAGAAAGAGAUAAGGCAUAUACGCCUGCUGCAGCAUCAGGCAAGACUUUUAAGUUACUGCAAUUUAUAAGAUGAUUACUCCUUGCAAUUAUUCUAGAUAUUAACAUUCAUUUUUUCUAAAAUGUGGUAAAUACACAUAACUUAAAAUUUACCAUCUUAGUUCUUUCUAAAGGUGAAGUUCAAUGGCGUUAAGUACAUUCACAUUGUUGUGUAACCAUCAUCAUCACCCACCUGAGGAACUCACUUCAUUUUACAAAACUGAAACCCGUUACCCAUUAAACAACUCCUCACUCUCCAUUCCUGCGGACACCACCCUUAAUGUUUCUGUCUCUAUGAAUUUGCCUUCUCCAGGAACCUCACAUAAAUGGAAUCAUCCAGUGCUUGUCCUUUUGUAACAGUCUUCUAUCACAUAGCAUAAGGUCUUCAAGGUUCAUCCAUGUUAUAGCAUGUGCCAGAACCGUCUUCCUUUUUAAGGCUGAAUAAUAUUCCAUUAUAUGCUGUUAUGACCUGAUUGUUUGUAUCCCCUGCCUUUUGUUGCAAUCCUAAUCCCCAAGGUGGUGCUAUUAGGAGGCAGGGCCUUUGGGAGGUGAUUAGGUCAUGAGGAUGGAGCCUCAUGGAUGGGAUUAGUGCCCUUAUAAAAAGGACGGAGGAGCUCUCACCCUCUUUCUGCCAUCUGAAGAUGCAAUGAAGAGCAGGCAGUCUGCAGCCCAGAAGGUGGCCCUCGUUGGACCCUGACCAUGCUGGCACCUGGACCUUGGGUUUCCAGUCUCCAGAACUAAGAGAAAUACAUUGACAUUAUUUAUAAGCCACUCAGUCUAGGGUACUUUGUUAGGGCAGCCCAAACUAAAACAUAAGUAUAGACCAGAAUUUUGUUUAUCCAUUCAACUGUCCACAGACACUUGUGUUGUUUCCACCUUUUGCUAUUGUGAAUGAUGCUGCUGUGAACACAGGUGUGUGACUAUCUCUUCAAGACCCUGCUUUCAGUUCUUUGGGGGAGAUUCAUUUUUUCAGUAAAUAUUUAUUUCUAAUAAAUAUUAAGUGAGCAGCUACUAUGUGCCUGAGUCAUAGAGAUGAAGAAGAUACAGUGUUCCCCAUUGAAUUCAUGACCCGAUGUUAAGACGGAAGACCAGGCUUCUCUUUCAUAACAGUUUUCAAUUCCUGUGGAAUUGGCUUUUGCACUGGUGAGGGAUGAAGUACAAGCAACUACAGACAAUUCAUGUGAGGUUUUCCACUCAAAAUUUCAUUUCUCCUCGGCCACCCAACACGCUUAAAAAAAUUAGCCCUUCUGUUUAUUAUAAUAUUUUUCAAGGCAACAGAAUAAUUAUACUAUGUAAGACACAACAGAAGUAGGAAGGUAAAUUUUCUAAUGGGGAAGCGAAUUGCCAACCACACAAUCUGUUAUUUUCAAUCACGCACAAAGAUGACGGAAUAAUAAUCAUAUUGUAUUUAAAACUGACCUGCUGAAUGGCCUUGCAAUUUUACCACAUUUUAGCCAAAUGAAUCUUCAUAUCUAGAAUAAUUGCAAGGAGUAACCAUCUUAUAACUGGGGUAACUCAAAUGUAUCUCAUCUAUGAAAACACAUUAUAAAAUAUUGAUUAAGGUUAAGGGCUUUGAAAGCAGAAAAUGUGACUUAAUUUCUAAGUGUUGAAAAGGUGCAAACACUUCUUAGCAACAAUGACAAUUGUAUGUGAGUAUGUUAAUGAUAAUGACUGAUAAUCUACAAAUCCUAGUACUCACCUGAAUGUGGAAUGCUGUGACCUAGCUUUACAAUGAAAUCUUCUUAAAAUCUAAAAUUUCAUCUUCGUUUUACAGUAAUCUUUUUGCAUGGGAUCUGAUCAGCCCAAACUGAAUGCGCAACACAGAAAAACCAUUGUGUUCAAUUUGCUACCCUUCGCUAAUUUCAGGCCAGCCAUUUAAGAAACAGGCUAUUUCUAUGUGGCUCAUAUAAGGCUUUGAUGUUUUUUUCCAUGGUAAACCCACAAGAAAAAAAAAGUAUUUUAAUAGGCAUAUAGUGAUCAAAGAUAUUAUUCUCUUCUAAAAAGACUUUCUUAAAGCCCUUCCAAGGGAAUUUCUCACAAGAAAGCAUUAAAUCUCUAUUGACUGACCUCUACAUUUUUAUGGUGUCCAGAUAUUUUGAAAGAAUGCUAACCCAGAAGAGAAAUGACAGAUGCAUCCCUCUUUGGCUUCUAUGGCCAGCAAAAUACAGACGUUUGCUUUAAUUAUGGUAUAGAAAAGUCAUAAAGAAAUCUUUCAGAACAUUCUAGAGACAGGAAAAAUGAAGAAGACUUGGAGAAAAAAAUUGCAACAUAUUAACCUUGGCAAAGUCUUCAACAUACGUGUGACAGCCCUUGAACGUGAGUGUUAAAUAUGUUUGCUGGAGCAGCAGUGGAGACAGGUACCACCCAUGGUCCUAGCUCCAGCCCCUCUCCGUGGGCACUGGACCACCCCACUCAGUGCCCACUCAGGACAGCAUGCCCCUAAUUCCCUUUCUUCUGCAUCAUCAGUUUUUCCCCCUCUCCCAGGAUCACUCCCGCUUAUUAUACAUGGGACAUCAUAUCUCCCAUCUUGAGAAAGAAAAUGCCAACUCUUGGCCGGGCGCAGUGGCUCAUGCCUGUAAUCCCUGCAUUUUGGGGGGCCGAGGUGGCCAGAUCACCUGAGGUCAGGAGUUCAAGGCUAGCCUGGCCAACAUGUUGAAACCCUGUCUCUACUAAAAAAACAAAAAACAAAACAAAAACAAAAACAAAAAUUAGCCGGGCAUGAUGGUGAGUGCCUGUAAUUCCAGCUACUCGGGAGGCUGAAGCAGGAGAAUUGCUUGAACCCGGGAGGCGGAGGCUACAGUGAGCCAAGACUGCACCACUGCACUCCAGCCUGGGCUUCACCCCACAUUGUCCUCCAACCACAGCCCUAUCUCUCUGUUCUCCUCCACAGUAAAUCCCCUUGAAAUAGCUGAGUGAGCUCACAGGCUCCAGGUCCUCUCCUCCCUUUCUCGCUUGGGGCCACCACCCCCCAAAAACAGCUCUUCUCUCUGUAGCAAUGUCCUCUCCAGCCACGGCUGACCUGCUGAGGGGUUUGACGUCUUUCAAAACUCCUUUCCUCCCUGACCCAUCCCCGUCUUCAGGUAUCUUGCCUCACCAGGCUCCUCCUCCUUGGGGCCCUUUACUGACCCUUCCUCACCUUCCCCACCUCUAAGUUUUGGGGUGUCCCAGCGCCUGUGCUGGGACCUCACCUCCUCUCCCCAGGCUCAGUCCAUGGGAGCACAUGAAUGCUACCUCUGUGUAGCACACUCUCAAAAUUCAGGUGUCUCUGGGCCCAGAGGCAUGAUCAGCUGCUGCAGGUGCUCUCCCCAUGGGUAUUAGGAAUGGCAUCUCCAUUUGGCGUUUCCAAAACCACACUCCUCAUUCACCCUCGCAGCCAGGCAACUCUCAACAAUAGCACUCCCCCACCUUCCUCAAGCCUUCCUCCCCACAGCUCACCUACCAGGCUCCACCACAGGCCGCCUUGGGUUCCUCCAGCACACAAGCACAGCUCCUCCUCAAGGCCGUCGUACUGGCUCUUCCUUCUGCCUGGACACCCUUCCCCAAGCACCUUGCUCUCCCACCCCUCCUUUUUCAGGUCUCUGCUCCAGAGCUCCCUCAUUGAAGAUGCCUUCCCUGGCCAUGAUAAUUAUGAACUUGUGACACUUCCCUACCGCUGAUAUUCCUUUGCCCGUGUGGUAAUGUUCUUCAUAGCAUCUGUCACCAUCCUUUCAUAGUCUCUAUCACCAUGCCUACAACAUGUUGUCCUGCCUGUCCCUUUCAUGAAAGAGUAAGCUCCAAGAAGGCAGGAUUUUUGGUGACUGUUGCACCUACUGGAUGCUCAGUGCCUAGGACAGGACCAGACAAGUAUCACGUGUCCAUGAAAUAUCGAUUUGCCAAACGUUUGCAGUCACAUGUGGAUUACAGUAACUUCUCCACCAAAACAAUAACCAGACUCAGUCACUGCACUAGAUUUUAUGAAGAAACAUGAAAAUCUUGGGGGGUCAUCAUUUUGUCCUGCCUGAUCACUGGAAUCACCUCAGACACUUAAAAAAUAUAUACAUCUCCAGCCCAGAGAAUGGUGCCUGGAAUCCAUAUGUUUAACCAGGUCCCCAUGUAACUGCUGAUCAGCCAGGUCUGGGGAGCACCGAUUGGUCCCGUCUCUCAGUGACCGCACUGCUGUCUAUCAGCAUGCAGAGGUGACAGUGUUUCUGCUGGGUUUUUCAGUGAUGGGAAGUGCAUUACCUUAUGACUUGUUACAAUGUUAGGGCAUAUUUUUCACCACGUUCUCCCUUUUCCAGUUUAAUUCCAUAGCAUUUGUUGAGGGUCUGACCAGUGCCAGGAGCGAUGGCCUAUCCAGAAAUAAACAGCUAGUGAAAGGGACUUGGUGCCUGUCCCCAGGAAACGUCCAGUUGGCUGAAUACUUCCCAUCCCCUACUGCUUUCCAGCAGACUCAAGCCUGUCCUCUGCAAUAAUGCCCUCUUCCACCUGGCUGGCAGCUUGUUGAGUGUAGAAUGUUUCCUGCCUAGGACCCAUGGCAUCCCUCUGGGGUGGAGGUGGGUGGGCUGCAUACCCCCUCGAAAUCCUCCAAGCAUUGGUCGUGUGAUAUGAUUUCCUGCUCCUUCCUCAUCAUGGUAGCAUCUCAAAAACUCAUCUGGGGUCAAUAUCCAGCCCUCACACCACCUUCAACAAUCCCCUAAUCAAACAUCUAACCGUCAGUUUCCGCACAUGGCAACUAAGCAUUAACCAUAACAAAUAACAAACAGCUCACUACGGUCAUGCCUGAUCAUUUAGCACAAAGACUUUUGAAAAUAAUUUAUAGUGAAAACUGUCUUACAUGAUUUCACAAUUUCCUAAAACAGGAAUUAUACAAAAACCAAUUUCAGACAAAGAUGGGAUUUGCACUUAAUAUUUUUUAGCAUCCCAGUAUGCUCUGUUCAUCCAACACCAGGCCUCCAGUGGUUAGCAUUCAACCAAAGUUUUGAAACAACCAAAUUUUAAUUUUAAUCAUUGAAAAUGACCCUAAAACAUGCUGGGUUUGCUAGUUUGGGAAAUAUUGAUUACUGCUUAAAACCCUCAUCAAUUAACUCAAACAUUAUCUCCCUCCACUGUCAACACAGAUUUUCUUCGGAAAAGGGCCUAAGUGCAAACUUUGAAAAAACCCAUUUCACCACAUAAUUUCCUCACUUAGAUUUACACGCACAACAGUCUUGCAGCUUUUUGGGAGGGUGUUCAUAUGUUCCCAACUAGCUGUGCGUUGCGCCUCUUGGCUCUUGGACCUAAUAGGGAUUUGAGCUGGCUGCUCCAUCUUAAACCUUCUCUCCCCUGAGGAGCCUGCCAGGUUUUGAAGAUCAAUGAACUUCCCAGAUGGAGGCGAGACAGUAAGAGUCACAGCUGAAAGCCUCAUAGGUUUUAAGUGCUGGGUUUUGUACCAAACAUUCCAAUCCUUUUUGUUUCAAGUGCUCAGAAGGCAGGCAGCUCGAUGGCUUCAGCCCUUGGAUAACUGGCUAUAAAAGAAGCUAUAACUUUCAGGUUCACCUGAAUGUCACGACUUUGCCCCAAGUGGGAUGUGUCUUGAUUUGUGAAAAACAAACUCAACUCUACUUAAUGCAUUUCUCUUUAAACCACCUCUACUACGAUCAGAGCUGCGGGGCUGCUGGGACAUCAUGGAUACUAAGUAUGUGUCUGUUAUAUGCAUUUACCAAAGAACAAAAGACUGCGUAAGAUAAACAUUUUGCAUGGUCCAGAGGAUAAGACAGGUAGGGUAAGACAGCAGAGGGGCAACUGUGUCCCUGAGGGCCUCCUUGUCUCCUCAUUCCUGCCCAUAUAAAAUGGUCUGGUGAGCAAUGGCCAACUAAGAAGGCUAGGAUCAGGAUGCCUGAGCAGUGGAAGCUGCAGGAGGCUGUGAAUGCGGACAGUGGCUGAGCUGGCCAGGCUGUGUAUGCUUGAACCCAGUCAGGGCCUAGGUCAGAAGUGGGUUUGUGAGUCAGUGCAGGCUGCCAGAACAAAGCACCGCAGACUGGGCAGCUUAAACAACGGACACGUAUCUUCUCACGGUUGUGGAGGCCGGAAGUCUCAGAUCAAGGUGUGGGCAGGUGGCUUCCCCCUUGGCUUGCAGAUGGCCGUCCUCUUGCUCCUCUUGCUGCUUCUUCACAUGGCGGUCCCUCUGCGCACAUCCCUGGUGUCUCUCUGCAUGUCCUAUAUAAGGACACUUGUCAGACUGGAUCAGGGCCCACCCUCAUGGCCACAUUUUAACUUCAUGACCUCUUUUAAGGCCCCAUCUCCAAAGAUAGUCAUAUUUUGAAGUACUGGAGGUUUGGACUUCAACGUAUAAAUUUGAGGGACACAAUUCAGUCCAUCACAGGGGGCCGGGCUAGCACAGUGCAGGGAAGAGGUCCUGAGACCUGCAGAACAUGGGGUUACAAUCCAAGACCUCACGGGUGCACCUAAUCCGACAUCCAUAGUAACAAGACAGCAAUGAAGACAGCGGAGUCCACAUUCGCUUGGCUUCUAAGUUUCUACAGCCCAGUCCAUUCUCCACAAACCGAGGUAAACUAACAUCUGAAUUUAAAUGAUCGAAAUAUUUGGACAGACUCAUAAACUAAACGAAAUUUCAUUCUGAAAUAAUGGUCACCAGCUGUAUUUAUCAGAGUCCAGCCAGAAAGAGAAUUCUACUCCAGAGCUCCCAAGAAGAGGUUUUGGGUUUUUUUUUUGUUUUUUUUUUUAAUUAUACUUGAAGUUUUAGGGUACAUGUGCACAAUGUGCAGGUUUGUUACAUAUGUAUACAUGUGCCAUGUUGGUGUGCUGCACCCAUCAACUCAUCAUUUGACAUUAGUUAUAUCUCCUAAUGCUAUUCCUCCCCCCUCCCCCCACCCCACAACAGGCCCUGGUGUGUGAUGUUCCCCUUCCUGUGCCCAUGUGUUCUCAUUGUUCAUGUCCUUUGUAGGGACAUGGAUAAAACUGGAAACCAUCAUUCUCAGCAAACUGUCGCAAGGACAAAAAACCAAACACCGCAUGUUCUCACUCAUAGGUGGGAAGAAGAGGUUAUGAUGGAAGGGCUAUUUUUGGAGGUGUGAGCGGGGCACAAGGGACCUACAACAACGGCAGCCAUCCCCGCCCCUGGCCUGAGGGGCAGGGCACACACCACCUUGCCUGCCAGUGAGAGCUGGGGCUGGGAGAGGCUCUGCUUUCAGAAGCUAGAAGUGCGGAGGGAAUCGAAGCCCGGCUAGAACAAGUAGGAAGCGUGAGUGGGAUCCAUGCACUGGCUUUUCUCUUGCCCUUCUGAGCUGAAUUAAGAAAAGGAAGCCUGAACCACUCUAGGAAGCUCGCCUCCCUAGCACAGGACAGAAGGAAGCUGUCUCAGGAAAAUGCCCUACUCCUUGGGCAACCAACCACUCCUUGGACACUGGGUGGUACUACUUUCCCCGGGGCACCCAGACAAGACACUUCCGUCCAGGUGCUGGGCAGAGCCCCACUGCCACCCCCUGCAGCAUCCUCAGCAUCUUGCAGACCCCCGAGCAGCUGCCAGCAGAGCUCAGUUCUUCCUCCUCGCCAGCCUUCCCCUCCUCCCUGGGGCUCCCUCCAGAAGGAGGCAGGGAGGGAGGGUAGGAAGGCGCAGGUGGAGGAAGAUGAGGAAGGGACUCCGGCAGCCAGCUCCUCCCCGGCACCACAAGGAGGAAAGGGGAAAGAGGAGCAGACGCUGGGCAGCACCUUGACCUCUGAGAGGGUUCCUGUUAAAAAAGAAGGCGGUGAACCAUCAUUCUGAGCAAACUGUCGCAAGGACAGAAAACCAAACACCGCACGUUCUCACUCAUAGGUGGGAAGUGAGCAAUGAGAACACUUGGACACAGGAAGGGGAACAUCACACAUGGGGGCCUGUCGUGGGGUGGGGGGAGGGGGGAGGGAUAGCUUUAGGAGAUAUACCUAAUGUAAAUGACGAGUUAAUGGGUGCAGCACACCAGCAUGUCACAUGUAUACAUAUGUAACAAACCUGCACAUUGUACACAUGUACCCUAGAACUUAAAGUAUAAUAAAUAAAUAAAUAAAUAAAUAAAUAAAUAAAUAAAAAGCGUACAGAGAUCCACCAACACAUCACCCAAGUUGCCUAGAAGGGUGAUGGUUAUUCGGUUGAAGCUCCAGAAGCAGUCUGUUUUUGCUAGCAGUACUCAUACUAAAAUUAAAAACAAAAAACAAAACAAAACAAAAAAAAGGGCAGUGGUGCUGAAACUCGAGUGGGUGUGUUCACACCAGCCAGCUGGAAAGAGGAGUCAAAUACGCCACCCGUAGAGUAGAGACUGCAUGGAGACCCCUGUUGGAAGCUGAUAUUUAUGCUUUAAAAAGAUUGUUCAAUUCUAUCUGGAACUGCUUUGGUAGAGGAGCUUAUUAAAGAAGGCAGCUGGAAAGCCCUGGCAGGAACAGACAGGUGAAUGCAUCGCUCCUGAGCAUCUGUGAUAUUCUAGGAUCUAGCCUGAGUACCCAGAUACACUACGACUCAACUCAGAAACAGGCAAUUUCUCUUGAAUCAGACGAGGCCCAUCAUUCCCCGCAAGGCUUCAGAAUUCUCAGUGACAAGUGACUUUGAAAAUUUGGGGAUAAACUAGCCCAUCAAAAAAUAUAUAUUUUGGGGGCUGGGCACAGUGGUUUACACCUGUAAUCCCAGCACUUUGAGAGGCCGAGGUGGGCAGAUCACUUGAGGCCAAGAGCUCAAGACCAGCCUGGCCAACAUGACAAAACCCUCCUCUACUAAAAAUACAAACAUCAGCUGGGUGUGGUGGGGCGUGCCUGUAUUUCCAGCUACUUGGGGGGCUGAGGCACGAGAAUUGCUUGAACCCAGGAGGCAGAGGCUGCAGUGAGCCGAGAUUGCACCACUGCACUCCAGCCUGGGCCACAGAGUAAGACUCUGUCUCAAAAAUAAAAAUAAAAAUAAAUAUUUUUGAGUAUUUAACUUCUAUGUGUGUAUAUAUCUACCCCUUAUGCAUAUCCUCCCUUUGUACAUCACAUACAUUUUGAAAUUUAUAAAACACACAAGAGGCAGCUUAGUACACUGGUUCAGGGCACACAGUGGGGGACCAGCCAACCUGCUUUCAAAUCCUGGCUCUGCCCUCAUGAAUGAUGUUACCUCAGCCAUAUAGCUGAUCUGUGCUUCAGUUUCCUCAUUUGUAAAAUGGAGAUUAGGAAUAGUCAACUUGCAUAUUUCCUAAUGUCAAUCAGUAACUAGCAAACUAACCGGAAGGUACGGCUUAUUUCCAUUUUUUUUUUUUAACACAAGCAAAAUUAUUUGGAAGAUUUUUACAUAGGUAGGAAAUUCUGUCUCCAAGUUAAGGGUUCAAAAGUGUUUUAUAGGUAGCCAACUUACUCCAUUUUGGUAGUAGAAAUCAACUAAUGAUGUAAACAUGUACAGCUAUCAUCCUCAGAAGACCUCUCCACAGCAGGAGAUGUUACGCUUCUCACUUAGCAUUAAAAUAUCAUCUUAAAGGGACCUGUUUUGUGUUUAUUUUUUUCAAUAUCUACUAAGUACCAUACCACUGCCAGUCACUUGCUAACACCAUAAAUGUCAGCAAAUCUGGAACUGUGACUUUCUGAGAAAUAAAAUCAUGUAACUCAUCUUUAGAGACUGUAUUUCUUUAAAAAAAAAAAAAAACAAAAAAAACCUGGCUGGCUGGGUGCAGUGACUCAUCCCUGUAAUCACAGCACUUCGGGAGGCGAAGGUGGGAGGAUCCUUAAGCUCUGAAGUUUGAGACCAGCCUGGGCAACAUAGUGAGACCCCAUCCCUACAAAAAACUAAAAACGAGUUGGGUGUGGUGGCAUGCACCUGUGGUCCCAGCUACUCGGGAGGCUGAGGUGGGAGGAUGCCUUGGGUCUGAGAGGCUGAACCUGCGGUGAGCAGUAACUGUGCCAUGGCACUCAGCCUGAGUGACAGAGUGAGACCCUGUCUCAAAAAAUAAGAUAAAAUAAAAUAAAAGACAAACCAGACUGAUGCCAUACAAAAUCCUGGAAACCGAAGCCACCAGCAGGGUGCAAGCAAAAGAACAUUCGAGGAAGCACCAGUUGUGCUCACUGAGCUGCAGAAUCAGCGAUCCCUAGACCCCAGACCUCUGCAGUGUGUCACCGUCAACGAAGACCAGGACACCCGGCAGGUGAACCAAACGAGGUUACCUGUGUUUAUCACAACUUACCAAAGCCAAAUUCUUUAUUGCUUUAGGCAAAACAAAUUCAGACAUUCUAAUUUCUUCCUGCAUCCUCUAACUUUGGAGACCUUUGUCCUGGGAAGUUUCUUGGGAAAGACACCUCCAUGUGCCAUAUGCUACCUUCUUAGGUGAACAGUGGUACACAUCUAUCCUCUUUUCUCUACCUUGCUAUUCUCACUUGCAGUAUCUAAAGAUAUUCUCAAUCAUUUAUAUCAUGUUCGAUGGUGUAGAUUUACCAUAGUUUAAUCAACCAGUCCCCUUUUGAGGCACACGUGGGUUAUUUCUAAUCAUUUGCUAUGACAGUCGUGCCACGGUGAAUAGCCUUGUGAAUUGCUUUUCAUAUUUUUCCCCAGUGUAAUGUUUGUAUAGACUUCCAGAAUUGGAUUUCUCUCUCUCUCUCUUUUUUUUUUUUUGGUUUUGUUUUUUGUUUUGAGAUAGAGUCUCAUUCUGUCACCCAGGCUGGAGUGCAUUGGUGCAAUCUCGGCUCACUGAAACCUCUGCCUCCCAGGUUCAAGCAAUUCUCAUGCCUCAGCCUCCCAAGCAGCUGGGACUACAGGCAUGGACCACCAUGCCUGGCUAAUUUUUAUUUUUAUUUUUAUUUUUUUUAGUAAAGACGGGGUUUCACCAUGUUGGCCAGGCUGGUCUCAAACUCCUGACCUCAAGUGAUCUGCCUGCCUCAGCCACCCAAAGUACUGGGAUUACAGGCAUGAGCCACUGUGCCCAGCCCAGAAGUGGAUUUCUGAGUCAAAGGAUAAAUGUAUGUAAUUUUGCUAGCCAUUUCCAAAUUCCUCUCCAUAGAAAUUAUAUGAUGGAAUAACAUUUUAAUAGAACCCUCUCUUGCCAUACAACUGCUUUCUAACAAGCCAUGUAAGUUAUACUUCUCAACCCUUGAAUGCUAUCUUGGACAAAGUCUACAUUUUUCGAAAAGCUUUGUGGUCAUACAUUUGAUUUUAGGCAUUUUGAGUCCAGUCCUAUCUCAUAUCAAAGUUUCUAUCUGGCAUCCAACGUGACGGGCCUGCUUUAGGCUUGGCGGUCUAUAGUCGGGGAGGAGAGGUGUUGUGGUUGGAUUUACUGCUGUUUCCCCACCUUGCUCAUGACUGUGCCUCUGACCUCACCAGGAUUGAAACAGGGAGAAUGGAGGUGUGAGGGGCAGGAAGUUUUGUAUUUGACUGCACGGUUGGUUCACUCUGGGUGUGGCUGACUUCACUAAAAUUGAAACACAGAGAAUGGAGGUGUAAGGGACGGGAAGUUCUGUAUUUGACUGCACAGCUGGUUCACCCUGGGCGUGGCUGGUGUCCACAUACCAACCCUUCCCCUAAUGGGUCCUCCAUGGGUUCUUCUGAGCCACUGCCUGGACAUCUCCCAUCUGCAGCUUCCUGACACAGACAAAACCUCAGGUGGCCAACAGGGACUUAUCACUCCCUCCUUAGUCUCUACCACCUGACAGUCUAACCCAGAGGUCAGCAAGCUUUUUCUGUAUAGGGCCAGACAGUAAAUAUCAUAGGCUUUGGUGAGACGGCAUCUGUGUCAACCACUCACCUCUGCCAUUGCAGUGUGAAAACAGCCUCAGGAAAUAUGAAACAAACCCCAGCAUGGUUGUGUUCCAAUAAAACUUUAUUUAUAAAAACAGGUAGCUGGCCAGAUUUGGCCCACAGGCCUUCCUUUGCCUACCUCUGGUCAACCCCAUAUUAACUCCCUUUGGUGCUCUUCUCAUGGUGAAGGCCUUGACCCGUUCCUGACGACCAGAGUCUAGAUCCCUUUAACUGGGUCCGCUUCUUCCCUGCUGGAAAUAAGUGCCCUGCCUGCCAAUAACAUCAACAAAAACAACAGUAAACAGACUUUCAGAUGUGUCCUGCCAUGCUUUGCUGAUUUUGAAGAAAGGAAAAGAAUGGCAAAUUGCCUUAAGGUACUUUAUUAUUAUUAAGCUAUUUUUUUUUCUCAAAAAGUAUGAGGGUGAAACAUUUAGAAUAUUUUUGGCUACAAGUAAACAGAAAAUUAUAGAUUUAGGAUGGCUCAAAUAUGUAAAGGAAGCCUCUAGUGAUAUCAGACCAAUAGCUCAAAAACAUCAGCGACAGCAUCACUGCUGUUCCCUGACCUCUCUCCCAAAGUCAGAAGUCAGCUAUCUCUGUUGAGGGCCUUGUAUUUUCAUUAAAGUCAGAAAACGGGGAAGUAUUAUCUUGGCCACACUUGACAGUUUUAUCAGGAAAAUAUAAGCUUUCCCUAAAGUCCCCCAGGAAACCUCCAUUUAGGAUCCACUGCCUACAACUGUGUCCUUUGUUGCAAAAGCAGCUACAGCAAAAAGCUUCAGGCCAGAGGAAAGCGAGCUGAGAAGGUGUUUUAUUCAGUCACCCAGCUGAUAUGGUCAGGUUACGUGGAAUCAUUUUCCCUGCCAUGUUUCAAAAACUAGAUAUGAUAAGGUCAGGUGGGCACAGCUACCCUAAUGGACAGCAGAGGCAAAGCAGCAAUCAGAACAGUCUGGCUCGUGUAGAGCUCCGGCAUUGGUUAAUUAAUCAUGGUGUUCCUAGAAGUGAAAUUGAUAGGAAGCCCACUGCAUUCCUACUUAAUUUAUACAAGCAGAAAACUUCUAGGUCAAAUGGCCAAAACACUAAUUUGAAUUAUAAAAACAGAGAAUCAUGGCUCUUCAAUCAAUUUCCAGACUUGAGCUAGUUUACAGACCCAGAACCCCUUGAAUGAAGGGGAGGUCGGGUCCCCUUGAGGAAGGACCCCACUACAUUACCGACAAUGUAUGCAGUGAAUCUUUCUCCCAUCCUUCCCCAAAGAGACCUCUGGCCUUUUAUCAGGGUAACUGUGCACUGGGGAAAGGGAGAUGAUCAGACAUUUCAGGGACUACUGGACACUGGCUCUGAGCUGACGUUAAUUCCAGAGGACCCAAAAUGUCACUGUGGUCCUCCAGUAAAGUAGAGGCUUACGGAAGUCAGGUACUUAAAGGAGUUUUAGCUCAGGUCCAACUUACAGUGGGUCCAGUGGGUCCUCGGACUCAUCCUGUGGUCAUUUUCCCAGUGCCAGAAUGCAUAAUUGGCAUAGAUAUGCUUAGUAGCAGGCAGAACCCCCACACUGGCUCCCUGACUGGUAGGGUGUGGACUAUUAUGGUGAGAAAGGCCAAAUGGAAGCCAUUAGAGCUGCCUCUACCUAGAAAAAUAGUAAAUCAAAAACAGUAUCACAUCCCUGAAGGGAUUGUGGAGAUUAGUGCCACCAUCAAGGACUUGAAGGAUGCAGGGGUGGUGAUUCCCACCACAUCCCCAUUCAACUCUCCCAUCUGGCCUGUGCAGAAGACAGACGGAUCUUGGAGAAUGACAGUGGGUUACUGUAAGCUUAACCAAGUGGUGACUCCAAUUGCAGCUGCUGUACCAGAUGUGGUUUCAUUGCUUGAGCAAAUUAACACACCUCCUGGUACCUGGUAUGCAGCCAUUGACUUGGCAAAUGACUUUUUCCCCAUUCCUGUCCAUAAGGCCCACCAGAAGCAAUUUGCCUUCCGCUGGCAAGGCCGGCAAUACACCUUUACUGUCCUACCUCAGGGGUAGGACAGUAAACUCUCCGGCUUUAUGUCAUAAUCUUAUUUGGAGAGACCUUGAUCGCUUUUCGUUUCCACGAGAUAUCACACUGGUCCAUUAGUUUGAUGACAUUAUGCUGAUUGGAUCCAGUGAGCAAGAAGUAGCAAACACACUGGACUUAUUGGUGAGACAUUUAUGUGCCAGGAGAUGGGAAAUAAAUAUGACUAAAAUUCAGGGACCUUCUACCUCAGUAAAAUUUCUAGGGGUCCAGUGGUGUGGGGCUUGUCAAGAUAUUCCUUCUAAGGUGAAGGAUAAGUUGCUGCAUUUAGUCCCUCCUACAACCAAGAAAGAGCACAAUGCCUAUCUGGAUUUCGGAGGGAACACAUUCCUCAUUUGGGUGUGUUACUCCAGCCCAUUUAUCGAGUGAGCCGAAAGGCUGCCAAUUUUGAGUGGAGUCCAGAACAGGAGAAGGCUCUGCAACAGGUCCAGGCUGCUGUGCAAGCUGCUUGGCCACUUGGGCCAUACGACCCAGCAGAUCCAAUGGUGCUUGAGGUGUCAGUGGCAGAUAGGGAUGCUGAUUGGAGCUGUUGGCAGGCCUCCAUAGGUGAAUCACAGUGGAGGCCUCUAGAAUAUUGGAGCAAGGCCCUGCCAUCUUCUUCAGAUAACUACUCUCCUUCUGAGAGAGAGCUCUUGGCCUGUUACUGGGCUUUGGUGGAAACUGAAUGUUUCAAGUCACCAUGCGACCUGAACUAUCAUGAACUGGGUACUUUCUGACCCAUCUAGCCAUAAAGUGGGUCAUGCACAGCAGCAUUCCAUCAUCAAAUGGAAGUGGUAUAUACGUGAUUGGGCUCGAGCAGAUCCUGAAGGCACAAGUAAGUUACAUGAGGAAGUGGUUCAAAUGCCCUGGUCUCCACUCCUGCCACCCUGCCUUCUCUCCCUUAGCCUGCACUGAUGGCUUCGUGGGGAGUUCCCUAUGAUCAGCUGACAGAGGAAGAGAAGACUAGGACUUGGUUCACAGAUGGUUCUGCAUGAUAUGCAGGCACCACCCGAAAGUGGACAGCUGCAGCACUACAGCCCCUUUCUAGGGCAUCCAUGAAGGACAGCAGUGAAGGGAAAUCUUCCCAGUGGGCAGAACUUCGAGCAGUGCACCUGGUUGUGCACUUUGCAUGGAAGGAGAAAUGGCCAGCUGUGUGAUUAUACACUGAUUCAUGGGCCGUAGCCAAUGGUUUGGCUGGAUCAUCAGGGAAUUGGAAGAAGCAUGAUUGGAAAAUUGGUGACAAAGAAAUUUGGGGAAGAGGGAUGUGGAUGGACCUCUCUGAGUGGUCAAAAAUUGUGAAGAUAUUUGUAUCCCAUGUGAGUGCUCACCAACGGGGGACCUCACCAGAGGAGAAUUUUAAUAAUCAAGUGAAUAGGAUGACCCUUUCUGUGGACACCACUCAGCCUCUUUCCCCAGCCACCCCCGUCAUCACCCAGUGGGUCCAUGAACAAAGUGGCCAUGGUAGCAGGGAUGGAGGUUACACAUGGGCUCAGCAACAUGGACUUCCACUCACCAAGGCUGACCUGGCUAUGGCCACUGCUGAGUGCCCAGUUUGCCAGCAACAGAGACCAACACCGAGUCCUCAAUAUGGCACCAUUUCUAGGGGUGAUCAGCCAGCUACCUGGUAGCAGGUUGAUUAUAUUGGAACUCUUCCAUCAUGGAAAGGGCAGAGGUUUGUUCCCACUGGAAUAGACACUUACUCUGGAUAUGGGUUUGCCUAUCCUGCACACAAUGCUUCUGCCAAGACUACCAUCCGUGGGUUCACGGAAUACAUUAUCCACCGUCAUGGUAUUCCACACAGCAUUGCCUCUGACCAAGACACUCACUUUAUGGCUAAAGAAGUGUGACAGUGGGCUCAUUCUCAUGGAAUGCACUGGUCUCACCAUGUUCUCCCCAUCAUCCUGAAGCAGCUGGAUUGACAGAAUGUUGGAAUGGCCUUUUAAAGUCACAAUUACAAUGCCAACUAGGUGACAAUACUUUGCAUGCCUGGGACAAAGUUCUCCAGAAGGCCGUGUAUGCUCUGAAUCAGCGUCCCAUAUAUGGUACUGUUUCUCCCAUAGCCAGGAUUCACGGGUCCAGGAAUCAAGGGUUGGAAGUGGAAGUGGCAUCACUCACCAUCACCCCUAGUGAUUAAGUAGCAAAAUUUUUGCUGCCUGUUCCCAUGACAUUAAGUUCUGUUGGUCUAGAGGUCUUAGUUCCAGAGGGAGGAACACUGCCACCAGGAGACACAACAACAAUCCCAUUAAACUGUAAGUUCAGAUUGCCACCUGGACACUUUGGGCUCCUCCUACCUUUAAGUCAACAGGCUAAGAUGGGAGUUACAGUUGGCCGGGGUGAUUGACCCAGACUAUCAAGAUGAAAUCAGUCUACUACUCCACAAUGGAGGUAAGGAAGAGUACUCAUGGAAUACAGGAGAUCCAUUAGGGCAUCUCUUAGUAUUACCAUGCCCUGUGAUUAAGAUCAAUGGGAAACUACAACAGCCCAAUCCAGGCAGGACUAGAAAUGGCCCAGACCCUUCAGGAAUGAAGGUUUGGGUCACUCCACCAGGAAAAAAAAAUCACAACCUGCCAAGGUGUUUGCUGAAGGCAAAGGGAAUACAGAAUGGGUAGUAGAAGAAGGCAGUCAUCAAUACCGGCUACAACCACGUGACCAGCUGCAGAAACGAGGACUGUAAUUGUCAUGAGUAUUUUUUCCUUGUUUUGUUAAAAACAUGUUUGUGCAUGUUUAUACUUGUACUAAGAAAAUAUCUUGAUUUUAUUUCCUUUUUCCUUUAGCAUGUGACAUAAGAUUUACUGACUUCAAAUCAGCAUUUAAGUAUUGUUAACUUUAUGUAAUAGUAUUUGGGUUGGAGACUGGUGUGUUUCAGGUUGUACAAAGAAUAGUUGUAAUAUGUUAGGCAUAAUUAUGACCUUAUUAUUGUCUUUAUUUGAAGAUUAUGUAUGAUCUCAGAUGUGUAUGGGUUCAAGUUGACGAGGGGUGGACUUGUGAUGGUUCAUACUGAGUGUCAACUUGAUUGGAUUGAAGGAUACAAAGUAUUGAUCCUGGGUGUGUCUGUGAGGGUGUUGUCAAAAGAGAUUAACGUUUGAGGCAGUGGGCUGGGGAAGGCAGACCCACCCUUAAUCUGGAGGGCACCAUCUAAUCAGCUGCCAGUGAAUAUAAAGCAGAAGAAAAAUGUGAAAAGGAGAGACUGGCCUAGCUUCCCAGCCUACAUCUUUCUCCCGUACUGGACGCUUCCUGCCCUUGAACACUGGACUCCAAAUUCUUCAGUUUUGAGACUCAGACUGGCUCUCCUUGCCCCUCAAACUUGCAGACAGCCUACUGUGGGAUCUUGUGAUUGUGUAAGUUAAUACUUAAUAAACUCCCCUUUAUCUAUAUGUCUAUGUCUCUAUCUCUAUUAUCUAUAUCUAUCUCCUAUUCUGUUCCCCUACAGAACCCUGACUAAUAAAACAAUGAAAAUAUUUUCUAUACCUUGUCUCCAUACAGUCCUUAACUUCCAAUCAAAUUUGAAUGCUUCUCUUUUAAAUAUGAACAGACAGCCAAUAAUCAUGAGAUAGUGAGGAAAGCCUCUAGCAUGAGACACAAAGACCAUGACAAACACACUGAAACAAGGAACUUGGAGGAGACAGAUAAAAAGCAGGAAGCAGAAAUCAAGUGUUAAGCAAAAUCAUAAUUUUCUCAGAGAAAUAUAAGAAGAUGUGCAACUUUGAAACAGGAAUAAGGUGAAAAACAAACAAAAACAGAAGCAUUCAGAGAAAAAGAAAGUGAUCCUGAAAACUAAAAUGUGGGUGGCAGAAAUGAAAAUGGAGAGAAGAACCAAAAAGACAGACAAGGGAAGCAGAGAGACCAGACUAGAAGGUGCAACUUCUGAAUAAUGGGAGGUCCAAGAAGAGAGAACAGGCAAUUACUAGACAAUUUCUCAGACAUGAACGUUAUGAGUUUCUAGACUGAAAAGAUUCACCAAGUGCCCAGCAUUUUUUUUUUUUUUAAAGAUCCAGACUAAGACACAUCAACAAGAAAUUUCCAAAUACCAGGUCAAGAAUACUUCACAUGUUUCUGGAGGGAAAGAAAACAGUUCAUAUACAGUGAAUCAGGAAUUACAAUUGCAUCAGACUUAUCAACAGCAUCGGGAAGAUAAUGUGAAAAUACCUUCAAAACUCUCGAGGGACACAAGAAGAUGCUGCCUGGCCACAGGAGCGAGACUGCUGGCCUCCAAUCAGUCUUCUGGGCAGGCCUCUGAUGCAAUUACAGGGCUAAGGAACCACGGUAACCAAUGUGCCAUUGGCUGUGCUAAAACCCAGUGGCCCCAGGAAGAAUCCUGUUGACACUGGCUUGGAACAUGAGGCUUAAGGUUGAAGUUGAGCAGGACCCUGUGGAGAGGCUAAAGCAACUCCAUCCUUGGAUUCCCACCACCAUGUUGACUUCUGAUUGACCCCAGUUCCUGGAAGGCUUCUAAGGUUUCUCUUAUCUAUUGUUCCUUAUGUAAGAGAAAGUACUUAUUGGUAAAUCCUGCCCUUAGCUCAGGCAAUCCUGCCCUUAGGCAGAUUCACAUAGGAUUCUUGCCUUUUCGACUGCCCUAGACAUUCCUUCCCUAUGGUAUGUAAGCCCUGGGUCUGGGGGGGUGAUGGGUAGGAAUCCACCAUCUCGUCUUGCCACCACUCUAGACACAGGCAUGACUUCCAUUCAUAAGUCCCUAUUAAAUAUUUCUUUCUGAGAAACUGGAUUUGGCAGCCUCUUCUUCGGCCUCUCAGCUUCCUUGGACUCUGGGGUGGUUUGCAUAGGCCUGCCAACCAUGGAACACCCUGCCUCUCCCUAGGCCUGAACACAAAUAUUGGGAGUUGUUUUCAAUUCUCUACUUAGCCUCAUGAUUCAUAAACCCAGGCAAUGAGGCAUAUGUCCAUGGAUACAGAGAUGAGCAGGCCCCAAGUGAAGCACCAGCUCUGACAUGGAGGGGAAGACGUGGGUUCUGCUGGGCACAGAGUGAUUCCACUCUCUAUAAACACGGCCCACAGGUGCCUGCAGCCCGACCAUUCUGAAUGACACUGCCUUCUCUCCUAUUUGGGUGCAAAAAGCAAGAAGGAGGGAUCAUAGAAGUUGCCCCUGGACUACAGGGUUAAACCAAAAUGUACGUAUAUUGACUAAUGGAAGGAUGAUAACAAUAUUACGUACUUUUAAAAUGUGUGUGUACUUAAGAACUGACGUUAUACAGAAUAUAAAGGAACUACUACGUAGUAAAUUCUUAUAUAUACAAAAGCUGUGGGAGCUAUACUUUGGUAAACUUCCUGAUGGAUUACAUGGAAGUGGUAGUGGGUCAGGAAUUUAACACUUGCUUGCAACUUUGUUGUGCUGCCAGUCAACCAUACAAAGCCCAGCCAUUCUAAAGGGUUUGCAAGCUCUUAACGUUCAGAGCACUCAACUCUCAAAGGCGGUUUUGUGGUUGUUUAUAACCUCAAACACGAUCACCCUUUGCCCCCCAACCAUUUUCUCUUGCUCAGUAUCUACACAUCACAUCUUCACCUUCCAAUAAAAGUUCAAGGAACUACACAGCAAUGACAGGCACACUCCAAACUCACAGAGGCUUUCAUGAGUUAGAGUCUAGAGCCUGCUAGCAGGUUAGGAUUUUAAAGAACAGUUUUAAAACUCUGUUUUGUGAUUCCUGGGCCAAAAUAAUGCUCUCAAAUACGUGCAGUGGUAGAACAUAUUCGAUCUUUCAUUCCUCAAAUAUCAUCCUAACUUGUGCCAGCCAUGGUUCUAGCACACAGUGGUUGUUCUAGGCACACAGUAGCCACAGCAAACUGCCAGCCACACCCUUCCUGGGCACUUGACUCUACAGCCUCUAAUGCAAGCACCUGUGACUCUCUGCAGAUGGCUUCUUUGGCCAGCUAUUGAGCCAGAAACGCUGAAGAGUGAACCCCCUGUGAGCUGCCCUCCACCCACGGUUGGCAGGAGGGAGUGAUAAGGCCCAGCUGCCUUGCCCCCUAGUCAGCACAGCUGAAUCUAUCUGAUGUCACCUCUCAGAGUUCCCCAGUGGGGAGUGGGUCUCAGUGGCCCACAUUUAUAACCUCCUCCAUGACACACACUCUUACCUGCGACUCCUGGUGAGGCAGGAGGCGGGACUUGAUUCCAGAGGCAAGGCUUGGACAUAGGACCAAACUGAGCACUAGCUAAAACAGGUCAGGGCAGAUGCAGUUUUCCAUAGGACACACCCACCAGCAUGCCAUGUCGGUUUACCGUUUCCAUGGCAACACCCAGAAGUUACCACCCCUUUCCAUGGCAAUGACCCAAUGGCCCUAAGGUUACCACCCUCAUCCUAGAAGUAUCUGCAUACACCGCCCAUUAAUUUGCAUAUAGUUAAAGGUAGGUAUAAAUAUGACUGCAGAACUGCCUCUGAGCUGCUACUCAGGGCACACAGCCUAUGGAGCAGCCCUGAUCUGCAAGGAGCGGCAUCUCUGGCGCUGCUGUGCACAGCUGCUUCCAUGAAAGCUGCUGCCUAACACCACCAGCUCACCCUUGAAUCUUUGGGCAAAUCCAAGAACUCUCCCAGGCUAAGCCCCAGUCUUGGGGCUUGCCUGUCCUGCAUCAUCUGGCAACCAGCAAAGGGACAAGGACAGCGGAGAUGGUGGCAAUUGGCAGAGAGGCAAGACAGCAGAGACAGAGAGGCAGCAAUUGGUGAGAGACAAGAGACAGCAGUUGGCAAGACAGCAAGAGACGGUGAAGCAGUCUGUGAUUGAGGAUGUAAGAUCUGUAACACUGAGGAAGUACCAAUAAAGAGCUGCUAACACUACCGAGCUCUAACCCUAACCAGUGCCUCUUUUCACAGCCAUCAUCUUUCCCUGGCAGGUGGUGAAACUGAGUGGACAGCCAAGUGUCCAUAGUACAGCUGCCUCGUGUGGGACCCACUGCUCUAACGAGCCAGCCCCCGACACAGAAGCUGAGCACCCCCAAGCUGGGGAACCUAGAGAGACCUGCACCCGGGUCCCACGUGGAAGACUGGCUGGUGCCAUUUUGUCUUCUGUGGAUGGGUGAGAGUCCCCUUUGCACCCUCCCCCAGUAAUAUCAGGUAAGCUAGGAAAUAAAAGCCUUUGGCUAAGCGGUCAGUUCCCCACGGUUUAGGUGCCUUGAAGCACAUUCUUGCCACCCCUUCACCUGGUUCUUUCUCCUCUGACUCCAUUUUAUUGCUCCACUUUGGUUUCAUUUUCAGUCCUAACAUGUAUGUCUUGUUUGGAGUCUUAUGUUUGCUUUCGACUUUCUGUUAAUUGUAUUUGGGCAAUUGUUUAAGGCAGGACACUUGGUUGUGAGAGGUCCCCUGUUGUGUUGACUCUGGGAUACCAGAGUCACGUUGUCACGUUGUUCUAUGUUCUGUAACCUGGUCUUGGGUUCACGGGGUUGGCCGCCCACUGGGUACCCCAGGGUUUUUGGCACUGCUGUGCACAGCUGCUUUGGCGAGGGCAUCCUUGUUGGCUGAAACGCAGGCAUUUUGGGUUCUCAGCAUCGGUAUUAUAGGCCACCCUCCAGAUGCUCUGGGGUUUUUAGCACUGACAUUUCCUCUAGGAUUGUGGGUUAUACCCCUUUCGCUAGGCGAAUAUUGGUCUUGUCUUUUUCCACCCUGAAGUUAGGAGUAUUAUUUUCCUAAUAGCCAAUUGCAAGCUCCUUCCUGUGUACUGUCUUAUAACUCCCUUGCCUAAGCUGCUCUUGGUCAAAGGAAUUGGGAGCUCCCAGGCUCCUGGCCUGGCAGUCAGCCACCUACAGUGGUAGACAAGUGGCCAGCCCAAUAUUUUUUUCAGUAUCUCCACUACUGGGUAGGUUCUUCAGCAAGUCAGAGCCUCUGAGGUCUCCCCUUGGGCAACGCUGUUUACCCCUUUCCCUUCCUCCAUUUGUUUAGCCCCCUCUCCACCCAACUCUAGAUCUCUAUGGAAUUUAGGCUCCACAUUCGACUGCCCAUUCGUAGCUCAUAAUCCAUUUUUAUAACACCUUGCUAUCUAUAUUUACACCUUUAAAGAACACGGGAAUUUAAGAGGGAAGAGUAACUAGGCUUUUGCUAAACUUGGGCUAAUAAAACCCUCUGUAGAGAGAUCCUUAAUAUAGGCAUGGGGACAACAAGGAGUAUCCCAAGGGACUCGCCGCUAGGGUGUCUUUUAAGCUAUUGGAGCAAAUUCAAAUUUGGCUUAAAGAAAAAGAAACUCAUUUUGUAUUGCAACACCAUUUGGGUUAAAUACAAGUUAGAUGACGAAUAUAUCUGGCCUAAACAUGGUUCUAUAUACUAUAGUGAUAUUUUACGAUUAGGCUUAUUUUGUAAAAGAGAAGGAAAAUGGGAAGAGAUCCCUUAUGUACAGGCUUUUAUGGCUCUAUACUGGAUCACGUUACUUCCAGGCAUUAGAAUGCCAUGCAUAAGGGAUCCCCACCUAGCUGCUCCCCAUAGAAAGUUCAUAAGCCUCCCCAGAGUCUCUUCAGUCCCCCAGUCCUGAGUGGGGGUUCUCGCCAAUUCCCUAAUGAGAUUCCACCCCAAUAUCAUCAGGCACCUUUCCCCCUUAUCCAACUAGCCCUAGCCUAUACCCUCUGCUGCCCAAGAAAAUGAGCCCAACCAGUACACCAGGAGUGGGGCUCCAUAUCAGCCCCUAAGGUCAAGCCUGUGUCCACUGUGGAAAGUAGUUGAUGGAAAUGAGGGAACACUCAAAGAGUACAUAUGCCACUUUCCAUGUCUAAUUAGACCUUAUAAAAGGAAAGAAUUGGCCAGUUUUCAGAUAAACCAGAAAAGCUUAUACAAGAGUUUGUUACGUUGACUAUGUUCUUCAAAUUGCCACGAUUUACAAAUAUUGUCAUCCGCUUGCUGUGCUGUGGGGAAAAAAAAGUAGAGGAAAAAGUGUGUGGUUAAGCCAGUCAAUUAUGACAAGGUUAAAGAAGUAACUCGGGGAAAAGAUGAAAAUCCCGCUCUGUUUCAGGGUCUUUUAGUUGAAGCACUCAGGAAAUAUACUAAUGCAGGCCCAGACACCCCAGAAGGGCAAGCUCUCCUGGGUAUACAUUUUCUCAUUCAAUCUUCUCCUGACAUUAGGAGGAAUCUACAAAAAGCAGCAAUGGGACCUUCAAGUCCUAUGAAACGACGCUUAAACAUAGCCUUUAAAGUUUACAACAACAGGGACAGGGCAAAAGAGGGGAGUAAAAAGAAAUAGCCAAAAAGUACAAUUGUUAACAGUGACUUUAAGCCUCCUUGCCCCUCAGGAUUACUCAUCUUGAGAAAAUGUUACAAAAUUAGCAUCUGGGAUGCCUAGACAAGACUUGAUGCCUGACUUGCUGACCCCUGGGCCAGAAUCACUGCGCCUACUAUACGCAAAAGGGCCCCUGGCAAUGCAAAUGUCCUAACUGCUCUGGUGAGAGAGAACAAUAACAACAAAAAGCUUCCAUCAAUACUAGAGCUAACCUUCUCCUACUAGCCCCAGUGAGCUGCUUAGCUCAAGUAAGUUUACUGUCCCAGAGGACAGCUUUCCACAGUGGCAGAUAAGCAGCCGCCUGAACAUUUUUCUUUGGUAUUUCCACCACUGAGUGUGCUCUCCAGUGGCGUGGGGACUCCAGAAUCUCCUUUUGAGCAAUGCAGUUUGCUUCCUCCCCUUUUUAGUUGAUGCUAUGGGAUUCCCUGUCCUGCCUUUUCCUGUUUUCCAUACCUAUCGGGGCAAACAAAAUUUGGCCAGGUAGAUGGGUCCCAGUUCUGUAAAUAACUUGAAUCCAGUUGUCUUGUAUAGGUCAUUUUAUUUAAUAUGUUUUUGGGUAUAUGUACAUGUAUUGUGAUGUGUGUUACAUCUAGCGUGCUGUCAAACUGGCUUAUAGAUAAAAGAACACUCAUACAUUCAACAAAUAAGACUACUGAAAGCUUAUUAGUUUGAAGAGAAUCUUGUAUCUUCUAAAAUUUAACUUUAGGAUUUUUACCUAGGUAAGUCACUGAUGUUCAUAGGCUUUAAAAUGGUUAAAAUGGCUUUAAAUGGUGACCAGCUUUGCAUGGUACCUUGGUUCUCGGUGAUCUAGAUAAAGUUAAAAGUGAAAUAAUUAAAUACACGUAAAUGGGAUAUGCUUAAUGUGUGGUUUAAAAUCAUAAAAUGGUAGAAUGGUUCUCAGUUAUAGAAUGACAAUGUCUAGUGUGAAGUUCAUGACUUCUUCCUUCCUAGGUUUCCAUAAAAUGUGCUAAAGAAAUGUAUUCUUUAUUGAGAAAAAAUUUUUUGUCUAAUCCGGAAGUUACUAAAUGGGAGGUUCAAAACAUGAGUGAACCAGUGAGUAGAAAAGAGAGAUGUAAAGAAUAUUAUGAAUAGAAAAUGUAUUUUUUGUUUGUUUUGCAAGGAAGGAUAUAAAGAAAGAGUAAUUUUAUAUGUGGAGGAAUCCUGUAUAGUAAAUUCCCUAUCCUAGAGUAAAAUAACUUUAAGAAAGAGGUAGUAUAGAACAUGUCAGGAAAUUCAGCUAUGUUGUAGAUGGUCUGUGUAAGUCAUCUGCACAGUGCAUGAGUGUGGAGGUGGGCGGGCACUCAUUGGCCCUUGAACUCCUUUUGAGCAGUAUGGAAGCCAAGAACUAGAAGCCAGGAAAUGGGGUUGUAAAACUGAUUUGUCUAUGGAUUUUAUGUGUUGAGCUGCUGUGGUCUUGGCUUGUAGUAAUUACCUAUAUGAACCUUCCCCCCUCCCCUUUAGAAUUUAGGACAGGUUCAAAAGGCCCUCCAAUAUAAAAAUAAAAUACUGUCCUUCCCCACAAAGGAAAAAAUAGCUCCCCGGUUCAACCAGGAGACUUAGUCUUGCUAAAACCUUAAAGACAGGGUAAAGACAGGGAUACCCCAAGAAUCAAUUACAAUGAAAUGGAAGGGGCCUUAUCAGGUAUUGUUAAGUACCCCCACUGCUGUUAAACUUCAGGGAACACCUACUUGGGCACACAGAUCCAGGACUAAACCUGUUUCUUAUGAGUCACAGGCACAAAGGAAGGGCACUACAACCACAACCAAUAUCAGUAAAGCUUUGGAAGACCUCUGCUACCUAUUUAAAAUAAUCAACACUCAGCCAGAAGAGGUAAUGUAAUGCUGUAGAUGGGAAUAGGAGCAUUGAUCUUGCUCUUCUUCCUGACUGUAGUACUUCCUUUCUAUGGCUUUAACCAGCCACCUCCUCCUGGGAAACAUCUCCUGUGGGCUUGUUGGGUAUAGAAGCUACUCUAAGACCCAACCAGAUACCAUGAUGCCACUGUUAAUUCUGUUUGCUCUUCUAAUUAACCUAAGCUAGUGUGUAUGUGGACAGGGAGGGUGGACAAAAUUCUACAGUAAAUAUUUCAAAAAUUAUAGCAUCAUAGAAUCAUCUUUAUGGCUGCCAGAUUUGUCAUCAACACCCCCAGGAUAGACAGUUUCAUCUUCCGACCUAUCUGGAAAAUCUCAGGACCAUGUCCCCAGACCUCCUAACUAACCAUAGCACCCCAAAAUACCCAAACCCCUAUUGUGAAGUGGAACUCUUCCCCACUUAGUGGAUCCCCCCUGGACCCUGCUGUCCCCCUGCCCUGACCACUAUUAUCGGAAUCUGGGAAGUUGGGCAUCUAUAUCUCCAGUGCACUCAUAACUCUAACAUUUGCAUCCACUCUUGCAUUAAUGACACAAAAGUGGAAGCUUCCCUGCGAUGCUCUGGUCCAACUCUAGUUGCCAAGUUUCCAAGACCACGGGGAGGUAAAUGAGAUUCCAUUUGUGAGUGAAAAGACCAUAUAUGGUACCUUCUCCCGGAUGGGAACAUACAAAGGAAAAACAACUGCCUGAUCUGGGAAGGUGACAGUACUACCUUCUUCUAGAAAACAAAGAUUGUUCAACCACCACCAUGAGAACAGGUGGAAAAUAUCUCUAUAGACCCAACCUGGCAAUGAAGUAUAAACAUCGCACCCCGCAGGGCUUCUCUUGGUGCCCUAGUUGGGUUCAUUUUUGUUUGUGACUAUGAAUGGGAAGAAGUCACACCCUGUAACCACUCCAACUCCCUAAGGAGUCACCUCUUCUUUAAGGAAUAGCUUUCCCUUGUAUCUAAAAAACUUGGAACUGACAUGAAUGAACGUUGGCCACUCUUACCCCUCCAGGGGUCACAAUCUAUAACGCCUAGGACCCAAGAAUAUCAGAAAUAAGUAAGCAAUAAAACUAAUUCUGGCAGGAAUCAGGGUGGCAAUAGGACUAGCAGCACCCUGGGGUGGCUUUGCCUACCAUGAGUUAACGCUAAAGAACUUGGCUCAAAUCCUAGAAUCCUUAGCCACCAACGGAGAUCAGGCAUUAAAGAGAAUUCAAGAGUUCCCCAGACUCUGGAAAAUGUAGUUGUUGAUAACAGACUAGCAUUGGAUUAUUUACUAGCUGAACAAGGUGGGGUCUUGUGCAGUUAUUAAUAAAACCUGCUGCACAUAUAUUAACUCUGGACAGGUUGAGGUUAACAUUCAAAAGAUCUAUGAGCAAGCUACCUAGUUACAUAGAUAUAACCAGGGCACUGCCCCCAACUAUAUCUGGUCAACCAUCAAAAGUGCCUUCCCAAGUCUCACCUGUUUUUCACCUCUUCUAGGACCUUUGACAACUGUCUUGUUACAAAUGUUUGGUCCUUGCUUCUUUAACCUCUUAGUAAAGUUUGUGUAUUCUAGAUUACCACAGUUCCAGAGACAAUGCUGGCACAAGGCUUCCAGCCCAUCCUGUCCACUGACACGGAGAAUGAAAUCGUCCUGCCUCUGGGCUCCUUAGAUCAGGUAUCCAGAGAUUUUUACUCCUCCAGUGCCAGGCAGGGCCUACGUCCAUAAACUCAGCAGGAAGUAGUUACGGAAAACAGAUCUCCGCCCUUCUGCAGCCCCCUUAAGAUUAAGGAGGAGUAUCUAAUCUCUGAAGGGGGAAUGAGGUAGGAGGUGGGACUCAACUCUGGAAGUGGGGCUCAGGCACUCAGACCAAACUGAGCACUAGCUAAAAUAGGUCCAGGGCAGAUGCUAGUUUCCAUAGGACACACCGACCUGUGUCAAGUCAGUUCACCAUGGCUCUGGCAGCACCCAGAAGUUACCACCCUCACCCUGGAAAUGUCUGCAUAAACUGCCCCUUCAUUUGCAUAUAAUUAAAAGUGGAUACAAAUACCACUGCAGAACUGCCUCUGAGCUGCUACUGUGGGCGCACAGCCUGUAGGGCAGCCCUGCUUUGCAAGGAGCAGCGCCUCUGCUGCUGCUGUGCACAGCCGGCCGCUUCAAUAAAAGUUGCUAACACCACUGGCUUGCCCUUGAGUUCCUUCCUGGGCAAAGCUAAGAACCCUCCCGGGCUAUGCUUCAAUCUUAGGGCUCGCCUGUCCUGCAUCACUGGGAUCAUCUCCCAGUAAACUAGCCACACUUACAUCCAUGUGUCAGGGACAUUUCUGGAGAAAGCAGCCCAGGACACUGUUGAAUAAAACACACAAUAGUCUCUGUGGUCUUCUCCACCCCACCCCACACCAGGCACCCUCAGCUUGAUUCUCCUUUUUAAUUGCCUGUAAGCAGGGAAGCACAAUGUUUUCACAUUCUUUGUAAGGCCUUUGUUCUACUAAAAUCUAACCUCAGAGCACAAUUUUAAACUAGAUGAAAGAGUUGCUGCGCCUGAAGCACUGCAAACACCUCCUCACCACACAUGUGCACUCACCCUGGACACCCUCACUCACCCUGACACCCUCACUCCUCACCCUGGACACCCUCACUCACCCCAGACACCGUCACUCCUCACCCUGGACACCUCACUCUGCACCCUGGACACCCUCACUCACCCUGGACACGUUCACUCACCCUGACACCCUCACUCACCCUGGACACCCUCACUCACCCUGGAUACCCUCACUCCUCACCCUGGACACCCUCACUCACCCUGGAUACCCUCACUCCUCACCCUGGACACUCUCACUCACCCUGACACCCUCAAUCCUCACCCUGGACUCCCUCACUCCUCACCCUGGACUCCCUCACUCCUCACCCUGGACACCCUCACUCCUCAUCCUGGACACCCUCACUCAACCUGGACACCCUCACUCCUCACCCUGACACCCUCACUCCUCACCCUGGACACCCUCACUCCUCACCCUGACACCCUCACUCCUCACCCUGGCACCCUCAGUCACCCUGACACCCUCACUCCUCACCCUGACACCCUCAAGUCUUCACCUCCCUGGCUGCAGCCUGGGACACGCUUUCCCUAACUUCUGAAGGCUCAGUCCUCCUCAAGCCAAUCUCAUCUCAAAUUGCACCUCCUCAGAGAGGUCUUCCAUAACCGCCCUUAUAAAGCAGGAUUCUUUCACCAAUACCCCUUCCCACAUGGCACUGUCUCACAGCACUCCUCUAAAAGUCUGUUUACUUCCUUGACAAUCUGUCUUCCUUAUAAGGGGAGGUUCUGUAAAAGCCAAGACUCUCUCUGUCUAGUUGACUGUUGCAUACCAGGGCUUAGACCAAGGCCCUGACAUGCAGUAGGUGCUUAAUAUGUUUUGAGGCAAGGUCUUGCUCUGUUGCACAUGCUGGAGUGCAGUGGCACAAUCGUAAUUCAUUGCAGCCUUGAACUCCUGAGCUCAAGUGAUCCUCCUGCCUCAGCCUCCUGAGUAGCUGGGACUACAGGCAUGCACCACCAAGCUUGGCUAAUUUAAAAAAAAAAUUAUAUAGAUAGGGACUUGCUAUGUUGCCUAGGCUGAUCUUGAACUCCUAACCUCAAGCAAUCCUCCCACCUCGGCCUUCCAAAGUGCUGGGAUAAUAGGCAUGGAGCCGCCACACCCAGCCAAUGUGCCGAAGAAAGAAAGAAAAACAUGCUCAUCCUUUGAGUCAGGUUCAAAUUUUUUCUCCUCUUUAACCCCCAGUCACUCCAGUUAUAAGUGAUUUUUAACUCUUCUCACACUUUAAUGCAUCUGGCAAGAAGAUCCACGUGGUGUUAGGAACAAUACAGGACCUUAAGGAUGGGGGAAUCAGCAGGUGUCAGCGUGCCCUGUAUGCUCAGGGCAGCUGUUUCCACUGGACAUUCUCCCUUUGCCUCUCUGGGCAGCAACUCCUAGGCCAGCCGACCUGCUGUGUCGAGUAACCAGGAUUUCUCAAUCUUGGCAUGGUUGCCAUUUUGGACCAGAUCGUUCUUUGUUGUGGGGGCUGCCCUGUACGGCAAAGAAUGCCGAGCAGCACUUCCAGUCUCCACCCACAGGACGCCAGUAGCACCCUCUAAGUUGUGAGAACUCAAAAUGUCCCCAGAGGAUGCCAGAUGUCCCCUGGGGUGGGGACACAAUCACCCCAGGUUGAGAUCCAUGGAGCCAGGUCUGUUUGCCACCAAGGGGUAAAGCUCCAUUCCCACCUUAGGAGGGCUAGGAGGCAGCAUCGUGGGGCCACAGAAGGCCUGGGUUUGCAGUCAGAGGACAGGAUGCACAUUCCUUCAAGAUACAGACCCAGAUUGUUGGGCAUCUAGUUCUUGGGUUUUCUGUUGUUGCUGUUCCGUUUUGUCUGUCUUCCCUCCUUUGUUUACUAGCAGCCUGGAAUUUGCCACUUUUUCUAAACGAAGAUUUAUGGAACACUUACCACACGGCUGACGCUGCGCGAGGCUAAGGUUCUAAUACACCGCAGCUCACUUAACUCUCGCAAUACCAUAAACGCACACUGUUUCAUCUUGACCCUUUCUUGGGAAGGUGACAGAGAGGUAGGAGGGCAAACAUCUUGUGUGCCCCGUCCCAAGGGUAUUACUGGUGGAAUAAUAUCCGCCCCCCACCCCAGUUUCUAAUUUGCUGUAGGCUGUGACGCUGUGGGGCAAGACUAGGAGUCCUGUUGAAAUUAGGAAUAAGUGUGCUGUGAGGGAAGGGCUGCCUUAUUUUAGAGCACAGAUUUUCUGAAUAUCUAUUUUGACAGGUUCGAUCCUCUCCCCUUCCUGCCUUCCUUCUGUCGAUUUUCAAUGUCUUGAUGGUGUCCCACCUGAGUGGCCUUUAGAGAUGUGAGUUGUGAGGCACUGGGGAGGCAGGCACACGUCCUCCAGCCCAAGACUGCCUAAUUUAACAGGGAUUUCUGCAUUCUGGAACAAGCCUCCAUUUUCCCCAAGCAGGAUUACUCCAGAGGGCAAAACACAGCCCAAUAGUAUCACAUUUCCUUUCUGCUUUAGCAAAAAUAACCACUGUCUCAUUCAUGGGAAAAGGCCGCCAAACAAAUUUGUUACUGGAACCAUUUGUAACAACUUCUAGUUUGCACUGCCUUGGAGCAAGCACACUUUGUAGAGGAGGGAUUUGCAGUUACUUGGGCAACAAGGUAACCACUGAUCAUUACAGGAAGCUUCAGAAACCGUGGGACCAGUGUAGAAGAAUGGACUAUCUGUCCAAACUAAGAAUAAAAAGAAUGACACUUGUAUUUUGUAUGUCUUUUUCACUUUGCCUUUCUAGUAAUUCAUUUUUCUUGAUAUUUACACCUUGUGGCCCUGUGAUAGACUGGAAAUCUCAAAAACACACGUUCAGCACCAAGAUUUUCAGCAGCACCGCCUCAGAAUGAGACCCCUAGAAAAAACUGCGUGUUUUCCACUUGCCCAACACGAGGAGUUUUUGGAACACGACCUGCUUGAGGUGGAGAUUUUCUAGAUGGGCAAAGAGAAGGAAACACUUAACCUAGGAAGAGUAUUUAGGAAGAAGAAAGAACACAGCCUUUCUGCACAGGAAACCGCCGAGCAGAGGGGCAUCUGGCCUCUGCAGUGGCCUCCAAAUAGAGUCCAAUGGCUGGGGCCAGCGUGGCUGCUUAAAGGGGACUCAAGGGAUAUAAUAAAAUGCAGAUUCUCAGGUCCUAGUGCAGACAGGCUCACCCAAUAAGUCUGGACUGCAUAUGGGAAUCUCUAUUUCUAGGCCCUUCUGCAAGGUAUUCCUGCUCUUUCCAGGAACCAUCGGCAGCUGGUUUGGGGAAAGAAGCAACGACUCCAAGUGUGACCUGUGAGCUGGCAGCAGCCACCCUCAGCUCUGCUCUCGGUCACUGAAUCCGAUUCUGCAUUUUAACAGGACCCCAGGUGUUGCACCCACACAAAGCUGAAGCAGAUUGGUCUGGGGGCAAAAAAUUAGAGCUAUGGAGAUUCUCUCAAAUGAAAUAGAUGAUAUCAUUGACUGUUAGAGCUUCUAGAAGGAAUCUGAGGUCACUUGUUCAAAUUCCCUGAUUUACAGAUGAGGAAACAGAGGCUCAGACAGCUCAAAUGACUUCUCUCCAAUACCCAACAUUCGACAAGUAGCAGCUCUGGGACUAGUACCCAAAGCACCUAGCUCUCCAAUCACUGCGCAAGCCACACAAUUCUGUCUGCUUGUCAGUGGCUUUUCUGAUUCAAAAAAAGCUUAGGAAUUUCCCCAGGAGGCAGCACGAUGUAGUGGGAAGGGCUCUGGAUGUCUCUCCAAGGCUUCUGGAAUUCAUGCCCACCUCCACCAAGAAGCCACUUUCCUGCCAGCUACAGGUGCUCACCUGAAAAGCAAGCCAGACCAUAUUAACCCUGGCAUUGCUGGUACCUGGAAGACUUUCUGAUUCAAUGCUUUCCACCUCCUCCUACCCCUCACCACCCCCGUGGCAUGAAAUCCUGGGGGCUGCUUUAGAAAUUGUUUUCUUUGGCUGCUGGUGGGGGUGCUGCUGGUGGGGGUUUGCACAGCUGGCACACUGCACCAGUCUGGUGGGGGUUUGCACAGCUGGCACACUGCACCAGUCUCCUGCCUGCUGCCAACAAGGCCAUUUCCCAAGCACUGGCUUUGGAGAAGUUGGGGCUCUGAAGUGGGAACACAAGGCUGCCUUUUGCAGGCCAGGUGUAAAUUCUCCCCCUGCCACUUUCAGCCUAGCGUGAAACAGAUGGAGUGUGCAUUCCCACUUCCCUUUAUGGUACCCUGGAAUGAUGGAGCUGCCCAGGGCAUCGCCACGUUACUCUCUAGACAGUCUCUUUGUCUUCCUGCAAUGGCAGCGCCGAGGUUGUAUAUUUCUAGGUGCAGGUAUAUGAUUGCCAUAUAAUAAAAAUCUGAAAACAUCCCACCCGGGGCCUGGGCUGGACAGCAAGCAUUAGCACAAAACAAACACACUCAUUUCAUUUCCUUUAUGUGGUUAAUGUCAGCACUCCCAGAGUAUUCUCUCUUCUUUUGAGAAUUCUAAGAGCAAAAAAGUGACCACUUUUUUUUGUAUUGAGUAGCAAUAGUCAAAUAUCAAAUUAGUACAUCUAGGCCAAGAGAGGAUGAAGGGGAGCCAGGCCAGGAAAGUCACCCAGAAGAGGUGACACUCUCUUCCUCAGGUUCCACCAGAAACAUGUUUAUACCCAGGGAAAUUACAGAAGGGGUGCCAGGCUGCCCACCUGCCUCACAGGUAUGCCCUAUUGUCCGGGUAGUAUCUGUUACCUUAACAUACAAUGAACCCCAGUGUCUCACCAAGGCUGGGCAAACAGGGUGACCCAGAGGAGGGAUCCAUGACACACAGCAAGGGACUCAAGGACAGGCAGAGGCUCACAGUCAGUCAUAGGAGCCUCAGGUCACCUGGAGAGGGACCUCACUCACCAGCAAGGAGGACCACCACCCCGUUCCUGCUGUACCCAGUGUGGGGUUGGGGCAAGAGUCAGUGCCCACUAACCCCCCACCUCUUCUCCAGCACAGGUAGACCCUGAAUUCAGGGGCCAAUGCUUGACCUGCUCUAGUCUAUGAAUGAGAUGUUACAUAAAUCCCAAGGCAUGCUGUCAGAUACUAGGGAGAAGGAGAGAAACACCACCUUUAAAUUCCUCCCUCUCCACCCCUGGGAGCAAUGCAGCUACGUACCACCACCACAAAAGAAUAGCCACUUGGCCGCGCGGUGGCUCACGCCUGUAAUCCUAGCACUUUGGGAGGCCGAGGUGGGCAGAUCACUAGGUCAAGAGAUCAAGACCAUCCUGGACAACAUGGUGAAACCCCGUCUCUACUAAAAGCACAAAAAUUAGCUGGUUGUCGUGGCACACACCUGUAGUCGCAGCUACUCAGGAGGCUGAGGCAGAAGAAUCGCUUGAACCUGGGAGGUGGAGGUUGCAGUGAGCCAAGAUCAGGCCACUGUACUCCAGCCUGGCAACAGAGCGAGACUGUUUAAAAAAAAAAAAAAAAAAAAAAAAAGGCCACUGAUCACAACAGCUAUCCUUAUCAUUUUGGGAUCAUUCCAGGAGGAAAAAGGAAAAAUGGGCAGGCAAGGGGAGGUGAAGCCAACUUACCUACAACAAGGAGAUCACACAAGGAGAUCAGGGAUGAGUAUGGCGGGAAGUAUGGGGGGAAGCACCUGUUUCAUAUUAAAUAUAUCCUGAUUGAUAAGGGGGUUGCCUUAUAAUGUCUUUAAAACAUGAAAUACUGAAGCUUUCUACAUCCAUCCCAACAUAAGUGUUUAUUACUCAUAGGUAUUUAAAUAUCAUUGAUCUAAUCUUGUACACAUUGGAUUUCUCUCAUAUUAUACAUUAAUUUCAGCAAUUCUAGAAUUAGUGCAACAUGACAUGGGACAUUUUAAAUUCUUUUUUUCGAGACAGAGUCUCGUUCUGUUGCCCAGGCUGGAGUGCAGUGACACGAUCUCGGCUCACUGCAACCUUUGCCUCCCAGGUUCAAGCAAUUCUCCUGCCUCAGCCUCCUGAGUAGCUGGGACUACAGACAUAAGCCACCAUGCCUGGCUAAUUUUCAUAUUUUUAGUAGAGAUGGGGUUUCACCAUGUUGACCAGGCUGGGUCAGGUCAAACUCCUGACCUCAGGUGACCCGCCCGCCUCAGCCUCCCAAAGUGCUGGGAUUACAGGCAUGAGCCACCGCGCCCCGCCUGACAUUUUAAAUUUUCAAGCAGUUACUCUCCAGCAGGAAAAACAAUACAGAAGUACAGAAGGGAAGCAGAAACACUCCUCUCUUCCUUCUCCCACCCUAAGCCCCAGGGCACUCUCUUGCCGCAGGCUUCAUAUCAAUACAGCACUAAAAUCGUCAUUUGUGUAUUGCCUGUGAUAACAAUUACACUUGAAUCCCAAAUUGAAAUUAUUAACAAUUAAAAGGUGAGGUAGAAUCAAAGAAAAAAAAUCCAUAGAAUGAAAAACUUAGAAUGAACUUGUUGUGGAUUAAAUCAUGUUCCCCAAAAGAUAUGCUGAAGACGUAACUCCGGUACCUGUGAACUUAACCUUAUUCAGAAAGUGGGUCUAUGCAGAUGUGAUGAAGUAAAGAUGAGGUCAGGUUAGAGGAGGGCAGGCCCUAAUCUAAUGACUGGUCUCCUUAUAAGAAGAGAGGAAUUUGGCCACAGAAACUUACAUGGAGGGGAGAGAUUGGAGUCAUGCGGCCAAGGGUCAAGAAAUGCCAGCAGCCAUCAGACACUAAGAAGAGGGAAGGAAGGAUCCUCCCCCAGAGCCUCCGGAGGGACAGUGUUUCUGCUGUCGCCUUGCUUUUUGAACUCUGGCCUGCAGAAUUAUGAGAACAAGUUUCUAUUGUUUUGAGACCAGGACAUUAAUGCAGAAAUUUGAUUCUCCACAGCUGAGGAAAGGGAAGAUGAGGGAGGUUACACACUUGCUCCUGGUCACAGGUGUGACACUACAGUGCUCAGGACCUGUAAUCACAUCAGGAUGCUUCCUGUCAAACCACAUCAUCUCCAGAAGCAUGAAGAUGGUUCUUCUUAAAAAGUUACUGUAACUAAAACACUGCACCUAAGGAGGAACGGCAGUGACGUGCAAAGACUGAGCUGGGCUGACCCAGAUUGACAGCUCCACCCUGCUUUGCCUUCACUAGUGUGGCCCUGGACAAACUACUCUGCCUCUCCAAGCCUCGGUUACCCUGUCUGAAAAUUAAGUCACAUUGUUGUGCACAUUUUCCAGGACGUUGCAAGGAUACAAUGAGGUGAGCCACGCACAGGGCUUCACGUGCCCUUUGAGUGUCCAACACUCCAUCAGCAAGAAAUCAAGGUCAGCUCUUGAUCUUAUAAACUAUUUCUCAGACUCCUGUCCCUCCUUGUUGUUUCAAGCUGAUUUCUUGGCUCACCUUUCCCAGUCCUCUGUAAUACAGUCUUUGAUGAAUUCUUUCUCUAAAGCCCAGAAGCUGCCACUUCUCACUCGAAGGAGCUGGUGGCAAACUGGCUUUGACUUUCUUGUUCUUUCAACCUCAGUAAUUGUUUUUUCUCAUUGUCUUUAAUAGUUUACCAUUUCAAGUGGCUCCAUCAGAUUUCUUCUUGCUGGGAUUGCCUUCUUGUUUUCAGCCUCACCUACAGUCAGCUUCAUUUGGGGAGCCUGGAUGGCUUCUUCUGAAGAACACAAACUCUUAUUGCAUAUGCUGGAUCCAUAUUUUCAAUACAAGUCUUCCAAAUAAUUGUGUACUAAGAGGCUGAUAAUCAAGUGAAUGCACCAUGAUUAAAAUAGGAUUCGCCAAAAUAAUUAGGUGGCCCUUUACAUUCAAGUGUUCAGGUAUGAGAAUAGUUUUGCUGUCUGCUUUACCUAUGUUAGUGGAGAUGACAGAAAAUCUUUCAGAAAAAGAAUCCCAAAGGCUUUUUUUGAAGCUACUACAAGGUAUAUGGCUGCACACCUUCUCCUGUCUUCAGCUGGAGUUAUUGUGUUAACAUGAAAGUCUCUUUUUUCAUAAUAGAAAUUGCUGUAAUUAUAAUUACUUUAGAAGAGUGUUAUUAUUAAUAAGACCAAAUUGCACGGUUCAAGCAGGUGCUGGUUGAAAGAACUGUUCAAAAGUUCUACAGUUCGAAAGAACCCACAUAAUGGGAUCAGCCGCAAACCUGGCAGUCAUCUCCAUGCCAACGUGGCCCUGCCUGCCAGCACACACGCCUUGCAGCUCUCAGGCGGGCUUCCGGGCACAUGCCUGUGACUCCUCACAGAGUCACUGGGCUUUAAACAAUGGACCUCUAGUUCCUGAUUAAAGCCUUCGGGGAACAAGCACACUUCCAACAGUUGACUUUCCCAUAAAAGAAGGGGAGCUGGAGGGCUCUGGUUCCUGUUGAACCUCUCCUCUCAAGGCCUCUCCCGUGCACACCUGGAUCCAGCCCUUCAUUCUGUUGCUCAUUCAGCAGUGCUGAAGGAAAGAGGAGAUGGGGGAACAGCACGGAGUUCCGGAGGGUCCAGUUGCAGUCAUACAAUAAGUCCCUAACACCUUGGGGUGUACGUUCAGGGUUCUCUGGCUAGAAAGGGUAGUUUGAGGCCAAAACCAAAGAGAUCAGGAGGCAUGAAGGGAAGGAAGUCGUUAUCUGUCUGGUGGUUCAGAACUUGGCUUCUGAAGUUCAGCUCCCUGGCUUCCAUUUUUGGCCCUCCCUCUUUCUUGCCCUGUUGCCCUGGAAAGUCAUUCAGUCUCUCCGAGCUUCAGUUUUCCCACCCCCAAAUGCGUAUAAGACCCCCGAGGGGUGGUGGGUGGUGGGUGGGGAUUCCUGGGAAAGCACACCUAAAGCACAGAGCGCAGUGCUUGUCACGUACUGAGCUUUCAGACAUUGUCUAUGACUAUUACUUAAUUCUUGAAAAAUUCUUGGUUAUUUAUUGCUUGAAUUUACAAUUCCAUUUUUCUCUCCACCUAAGCAAUUUUUAUUUUAGGCUUCAGAGAAUCAGCAGAGAAUAAAUGCAUGACUCCUGGCCAUUAAUAGAGCAGGAAAGCUCACUCCAGGUUCAGAAGUCACCUCACUGCUGCCCCCUCUAGCCGGCUGCUGACACCCUGCUGGUGGUCAGAGACAUUUCAGGGCAACACAGGCAGGUAGUGAAUCCUAAUGCAGUAGUCAGGAAAGCCUGACUUUACAGUAGGCAUUUGGAAAGAUUUGGUUAUAAAGCAGCUUAUCGCUAAAUCAAGCCAGGAGGGAGGUACAGGAUAUUUCAUUCCCCAUCACAUGUAAAAAUUAAAUCUGUCUCUGUAGAAGCAGCGCUCCCUGGAAACAUGCUAAUGGUUGAGAAGUAAUCUUGAACCAACUACUGCCUUGGCUACGGUAAAGACAGGAGCCUAGGUACUCAAUACAUUUCUGUUAAUUAAAUUAAUUAAACCUCAUCAUUUUAAAAUAAAGGUCAUUGAAUUAAUUAACAGGCAAGUUAUUAUUUAUAAAAGCUUUUUUUUUUUGAUUGCCAAAGUUAAGUAUUUUUUAGUCCUUCUUCAGGCUUCUCCCUUUCCCCUUUGCUCUGGAGGGAGGGUUUCAGGGCUUCUUUUAUCAUAGCCCUCAGACCACCCACAUUUACUUUUAGUAGAGAGAAUUCCCUCGCAUCAAAGCACACAUGUCCAAUGGGGAUUCAUUCAAGGCCUGUUCCAAAAGAUUCUCUGCAGGUCACAGAAGAGGUUCUUCCUCAAUAUCUUGUCAUAUUUCCAAGGUUCUCAGCACCAGGCACAUGUUCCCACGUGUUGGCUGCACCAAGACCACAUCUUACAGCCAAGUUAAGCUCCCUCAGCUGAUGGGGAUUCCUAUUCCCUCCCUCUAACCAUCCACUCCUGGAGAUGGCAAAGAUCACUCACGUGGCUUCCCAUGACUUAGACGAAAGGCAACUAGAAUCAAAGUUUGAAUAUACGCUUUUGAAGGUUUUUUUUUCCCCCUAAACUAAUUAAACAACUACAGAAGUUAUUCGGCAGUUUCCUUUUUUAAAAGAAUUAGCAUGGCAUGUCUUUCCUCUUAAAGUCUUGAAUAAUUUAAUGAGAAUUAUACAAAAGUCAUGAGUAUGUUCUAUUUAUGGGGGAAUCAUAGCUGAAUCAAAACCCAAAUGACAAUGUUAAAAAUAAAAAUAAACUAUCUUCAAAUAGUGCAUUCAAUUGAGCAAAGGACUUCAAAUCCCACUUGGAUUAGACAGUUUGAAAGUAGGAGGGGGCAGAUCAAUUGGGAUUUUUUUUUUUUUUUUUUCAGAUCACUGUGCUUGGGAACAUUUGUUUCUUGCUACAAAAAGUGUUAGUAAAUGAACAUCAGAGUAAGAGAAAAGGAAAGCUGUUUGAUUUUAUUUUUGUGUUGUAAUCGGGAUACCACUUGGUCCCCGGACACCUCACUCAGCCCCUGUUUUUUUCCCGGUAGCUGGAAUGCUUUUCACACUCUGCACACCCGCGUGUAGAUGCAUCGCUCCGUGCAGAGGGGCAGGGCCGCCGGAUGAGCGAGGACACAGCUGACAAACCAACUCCGAGAAAGGAAAGCGGGCGCAGGGGAGACGCUGCUCCUUCCUCAGAGCAGCAAGCGAGCCACUUCUUAACCGGGUUGCUUUUAGCUGAGCUCAUGCAUAAAUCCUUUUUAAAGGGUACUGCGCCUUUGGAAGCCGGCCACGAGCCUCUUUAGCAAUGAGACAGCAUGGUGGUGGGGUGGGGGGGGGGCGGGGGGGAGGGAGGGUAUGAACACGAGGUGAUUUUCCCCAUAAUAGCCCGUCGCCCAAGGCCCACCGCUCCGUCUCCCGCUGGAAGUAGGUGUCGCCCGCAAGAAGGAAAUCACGUUAUUGGAGGCGGCAAGUUCCAGGUCUCCUCUCCCGCCCAGCCCCGCGGAGGGGGAGCUCACAAGUUCUGAAACACUCGCGCACACCCCUCAGUGCGCCCCGGGCGGGGGCUGCCGUCCUCCGCGACUCAAGAGCGAGCGCCCCCGCUCCCCGGCCCACCCGAGCCCCUCUGCGUUCCCCGCUCUUCUGUGCGGGGACAGCUGCUGCUUUGGGGGCGACGCUAAGCCGCGUGGAGGCGUCUCUGGACAGCCCCCUCCCUCCAACGAGCCCGAAAAGCCCGCGGCAGCAGCCGGGGGUCCCUACCUUCUGCGGGGGGGUCCCGAUCAGCAUCUCCAGGAGGCACUUGAAGUACAGACAAAGAGAAAAGUCUACCAAGGAAAGGGAGAAGAGCAAGCUGAGGACGCCAAAGAAUCUUGUUUGGGAUCUGCAGAUAGCAACAAGAAUCUUUAAUAACCAGAGACAACACAGGAAGAUACUGGGCUUAGGUCUUGACUUCCAUAUGCUUGCAAAUUCUGCUGGGAAAGAAAACAGAAGAGGAAAAUGGAAAUUGCAUGUAUAUGGGGCCAUCCGUGGUUUGGUGAUCUUGGCUAUCUUUUCUGCACAUGACCUCACUGGCCUUCAAUCUCAAUCUCUCUCUCUCUCCCUUCUCUCUCCCUCUCUUUCUCUCACUCUUUCCCUCUCUCACUUUCUCUCUCCUUUCUUCCUUUUUAUGUCCUUUGCAUGUUCUCAGGCCCACUUUCAUGUCUGUCUUCUAUCAAUGAGGGUGACUGACUCUGGAACCCCAGGACCAAGCAUCUCAGGUAAAGCAGAGAACUUACCCGGAGAAGCAACACUUAUUGUUGCUGGCUAACAUUUAUUGAGCACUUACUGUAUACAAAUGCCAACGCUUUACCUUUACUAAGUCAUUUAAUCCUCCCAUCAACCUGAUUUUAACAGAUGAGGAAUCUGGGGUACAUAAGGGUUACAUCACUAGCCAGAGACUAAUUGGCAGUGGUGGGGGAAGGUAACUGAUAUGAGAUGAUUUUGUAUUUGAGAAUAUUUUGCAAAAUGUAAAAUCCUAUACAAACUUAAAUAAGCAUCAGAGCUCUGUUAUUCAUGCAUCUCUAGGGAAUAGGAAGCUUAGAUGAUUUCAAUACUUGAAUAAAGUAUUUUACUGCAUUAAUAGCUUACAAUAUUAAAAUAACGACGUUGCAGGGUAUGAUGGAUGAACAGUAUCAUCAGGGGCUUCAGUAGCAACUCUUCAGAGCCCUUUCUGGGUAGCAGAUGUGACAGCUGCAGCAGUUAGGUUCUCCUAACCCACAACAACCCAAAGGUACUUUCACCGUGACCACCCCACAAAUGAGGAAACAUUCCUUAGUUACUCAGGUAGUGGCAUCCUCCAUUCUUCCAAGCCUUGACCUGUGCUCCACAACUGCAUUGUUGAAAGUGAUCUUGGGCUUUUUUCCCCAACAGCUGCUCAUAUCGGGUUCCAUUUCUCCUCCUGCUGGAGAAGCCUCACCAGGUCCUGGUGCACACAGGAAGGUUUCCCUGACCACCCCAAGCUCAGAGACCCCAUUCUCCCCCAUCACACACACACACAUGGAGACACUCAACCUCCACACACACAAGCACACAUCACACUUACACACUGUCUCGCCACACCACACUACACACCUCACAUCACACACCCAGACACAUACAUCACACACCACACACACAUCAUAUACACUCCCUCACCACACAACACUACACACCAGACAUCACAUACUCAGACACACACAUUGCAUACCGCACACACAUCAUAUACACUCCCUUACCACACCACACUACACACCACACAUCACACACUCAGACACACACAUCGCACACCACACACACAUCAUAUAUACUCCCCCACCACACCACAUAUCACACACCCAGACACACACAUUGCACACCACACAGACAUCAUAUAUACUCCCUCACCACACAACACUACAUACCACACAUCACACAAGCAAACAGCACACAGGACACACACGCUAUACACCACACACAUAGCACACACACAUCACACACGCCACACAUAUGGCACACACAUUGCACACCACACGCGGCACACACAUUGCGCAUGCAAUGCUACACACACACAAUACAUACUACAUACCACACAAACACAUCACAUACUACCACAUACAGACACAUACACAGCACACCCAUACACAUCAGUAUCUCUUGAUGGCUCGUUAGCCAUAAACCGCAUUGCAUCUGCUCUCACACCAGCCCCCCUGUGCUCACGCAGGCUUUCACUUGGUCCUGCCCCAAGCACCUUCAGGACAGGUGCUGUGUCACGCUGCUGCCCCUGAGGCAUAUGGCUGGUCCCCGGCUGUCCUAGACUGCUCGUCAAGUCCCCCUGCCUCGACCUGUGCUCUGGAGGACUGGUGACUCUCCAGUACCAUUGGAUGGGGCUUCCAUGUGGAAUGGCCAGAGGGGCUGGACAUUUUCUGAGACACAGACUAUGGCUGGCUGCUUUUGGUUGGUGGUCCCAUGAAGCCAGCCACAAGCAGAACCCCUGGACACUGACUCAGUUUCCCCAAGACUACUUGACUGAGGGAGGGCUCAUCAACCCUGGCAGGUUUUUCUCAAACAACUCCCUGUCCUCCCGGUCCUCACCUCACCUGCAUCCUGUGCCCUCCAUCCCCACCAGGAGGGAGGAGAAAACCAACCCCAAUGGUGCCCGCAUCUGGAAUUAUCUCCCUGGCGCUCAGGUCAACAGCCUUUCCAAGAACACUCGAUGUGAGCAUCUGCAGCCUUUGCUUCUCAUUUCCUCCUAAGAGGAGCCCCUGGGAUGCUAUGAAGGAAAGCAUAUGGAGGGCAAAGGAGACUCACAGAUUAAUGCUUGGAAUUCUGUCCCAUGACAUCCCAUGCUCUGACCUUGUGGCACAGGGCCUUUGGAUGCCGCAAGUGGUCAUAGAGGCUGACAGCGCAUGUGCCCCAUGUUGAGCUGGACUUCUUCUAAGCAGCUACAGUAUCAGCUUAUUGAGUCUCCAUGACAGCCCCAUGUUGACCUGGCUUCUUCUAAGCCGUUACAGUAUCAGCUCAUUGAAUCUUCACCACAGCCCCAUGUUGACCUGGGCUUCCUCUAAGCAGCUACAGUAUCAGCUCAUUGAAUCUCCGUGACAGCCCCAUGUUGACCUGGCUUCUUCUAAGCAGCUACAGUAUCAGUUCAUUGAAUCUUCACCACAGCCCUGUGUUGACCGGGGCUUCUUCUAAGCAGCUACAGUAUCAGCUCAUUGAAUCUUCGCAACAUCAUGCAUGGCAGAUCUAACAAUUGUCACCCUUGUUUACAGAUGAGGAAACUGAGGCACAACUGGCAAGUGGCAGAAACUGGUUAAAUGCUCAAUGAGUAGUUGUUGAAUCUUAGAAGGAAGAGGAAGCUCGUUCCGCUCCGCAGCAGCGGCAGGGUGGGGCUGCCCUGACCCACCUACACUGUCUUUGAGCAUUUGGUGCCAUUUUGGGAUAGUGAGGUUCCUUUUCACAGGGGAAGCUGCAGUGUCUCCCGGGGAUGGUAGCCUUUUCGAGAAGCACAACCAGUUAGCUUGCAGAAGUGGGGACGCGACUGUUCUGCAUCUCCCUCUCCACGCACCCCCACUUGCAGAAACAGCCAGCCGCUCUGUCACUGAACCUGCACGAAAUGCCCUGUGUCUUAGGAAAAUGAACAGUGUCUGUUUAUCCAAGAUGAAUCUACUCUAGAUAAGAAUGUAUCAACCUCAGACCACAUUGUGUCUGCAAAUAUUUUUCUCCGUUUCCCGAUUGUUUAAUGGACAAAGCGGGUUUGGGGGAGCUGGGGAGAGUUGGGCAGUUCUCACUGAGCACCAGUCCUUGUUCUUGAGCCUGUAGUUUUUGUCUCCACGGCUGCAGAGACUGGCCAGGGUCUCAUCUGCCAUCCACCUUCAGAAUGGUGGAAACAGUUGAAAAGAACAUUGCAGUGAAGCUUGGGCUGGUUUGCAAGCAGGUCGCAUCUUAGAAACCCUCCUUGCCGCUUUCAUGGCAAAUGCUCACUUUCUCCAGACCCCCUUGCUUGUGUGGGCAGGGGUCGGCAUGCACGGGGUUCCUUUUUAGAAUAUGGGUGCAAAUAUCACAACAGUUUGCAUAAGUCUCCAACCGCUUUUUCCUCCUGUGAAUCAAACUUGCUUUUUUCCCGGUUAGAAUAUUGUGAAAGCAAAACAAACAAAUAAACAACAACAACAAAAAAGAUGUGGGUUGGUUCGCCUGCUUGUGCGUAUUUCUUUCAGUGGGGUCAAUGAAUCCCCCAUUGUUUGCUCCUACAGGCCCCUCAUUGUGUCCAUGGGUAGCCCUGUACCAGGUAAUGAAAGGAUUUCUCUUAUGUUUCUGUUCUUUGUUUUCAAGGAACAACAGAGAGAUGGUAUUUCCAGACAAGGGAAUAAAUUCCCGGAAGCAACUGGCCAAGGAAUGAAAAUCCUGGAGAACAGAGUGGAAGAAACGCGUAUUCCACAUUUCCUGUUGAUUUUCUUUCCUCCCUAAACACUGACCUCCCGCAGUCUUCACUAGCAGGGUGUUCUGGCCUCCAGAGCAUCUGGAUGGGUUCCAGGAUAUAAAUGUGACACUGUCAUUGCAUUAAAGUAGUCGAGCUGAAACCCCUGAAAACAAUCGUAGGACGAUGACAAGGUUUUGGCAGCUGCAAUCUUAAAGACCAGGAAGUGAGUUGCUUCCAUGGGAGCAGAGAGGCUGACCACAGUCUUGGGCAGCUCCAGUGGGCCUGGCGUGGCACUGCGCACAGAGCUGAGUGGGUCUGGCAGGUGGCAGAAUGUGACCUCACCUAAUGAGUAGGAAGGGAGGGCUUCCUGGACAAUUUCUCACGUUCUCAGAAUAAAUGAGAAUGAGGGCUGGGCAUGGUGGUUCACACCUGUAAUCCCAGCACUUUGGGAGGCUGAGGUGGGUAGAUUGCUUGAGCCCAGGAGUUCAAGACCUAUACAAAUAAUAAGAAUAAUUUAAAAAGCCAGGCAUGGUGGCACACACCUGUAAUCCCAUCUACUCAGAAGGCUGAGGCAGGAGGGUCACUUGAGCCCGGAGGUCAAGGCUACAGUGAGCCAUGAUUACACCAAUGCACUCAGCCUGAGCAACAGAAUGAGACUCUGUCCAAAAAAAAAAAAGAAAAAAAAGAAAAGAAAAAAGCUGGGCACAGUGGCUCACGCUUGUAAUCCCAGCAAUUUGUGAGGCUGAGGUGAGAGGAUUGCUUGAGUCCAGGAGUUCGAGACCGUACUGGACAACAUAGUGAGGCCCUGGCUCUAUGAAAAAUACAAAAACUUAGCCAGGUGUGAUGGUACGUACUUGUAAUCCCAGCUGCCUGGGGGGCUGUGGUGGGAGGAUCACCUGAGCCUAGGAGAUCAAGGCUUCAAUAAGCAGAGAAGGUACUGCUGUACUCCAGCCUGGGUGACACAGCAAAUCCCUGUGUCAGAAAGGAAAUGAAAGGAAAGAAAAGGAAAGGAAAGGGAAGGGAAGGGAAAAAAUGAGAGUAGCCACAUGAUUCUGUCAUUUAAAUCUCACAGGGUAACAGAAGCAAAUCAUCAGUGCCUGUCUUUGAACUUGAUGAAACUGUCUCAGCCUCAUGACCUGUGGUACUAGACAGAGACCACAACACCUUGUCUAUCCAGAGUGUGGGAGCACUGUGUGCAGUUAGCUCCUGGAGGCUUGUCCUCAGUAGGCUUAGGGCAUGAGGAGCCCUGGAAAGCCCAGGACCCCAUGGAGGGCCCUGGAGAAACAGCACCUGUGGCUGAGGGGUUCACAGGCCCAGCGAGAUCCACUCAGGUGAGGUCACCUGUAGAGGUCAUGCUGCGGAGUCCCGAGUCCCUGAUUAUAUUCAAGACGUGGAGCUCUCUUUUUCCCGUCCUGCUUUCUUUCCAGAAGUGCCUCAGAUGCAUCCUCCCCUUCUCUUUUCUCCACAUGAAGACGUCACUGACCAUCUUCUCUGGUUUGCUUUCCAACACCGAGCACCAAGUGCUUCAAAGGUCAUGGUGCCCUGGGGCCGAGAGCUACUUAUGUGGGCAUUUAUAACCAAAUAAAUAUUGAAAUGGCCCACAAAGCAAAUGUUAGUGGUAACCAACAGCGGUAAAACUGGGUACAUGGGACCCUGAACCUUCUUGAAUAUUCCCCAUGAGACCCUGGGCCGACCUUCGGGCUUUCCAGUGUGCUCAGAAAAUCCUCCGUGGCUCCCAGCCCCAGCUUAGUCUUUCAACGGUCCUCGGACUGAAGCAAGAGACAGGGAAGGAAUUGUCCAAGGUUUUCCAGCAUGCUGAGAACACUUACCAUGGUGGAGCCUGGCACGUACUGGCUCUUUGAUGCAUGUGUAUUGGUCUCAAGUAGCCAGAAGCAUCUCCUCUGAGAGCCCUUGCCCUCCAGUUUAAAUGGCAAAUGGAAGGGAAUGGGUUCUGGAAGGCCCCAGGUGGGCUGGGGUGGGUUCUGGAGACCAUCUUCCAACUCCUGUUCAGGAGGAGGGUUGGUCAGAUCAGCUCUGUGGCCACCUGGGCUCUGGAGGGGCGAGAUACGGGCAGGUGCGGCCACAGGAGGGAGAGCACCAUGUGCGGGGGAAGCCCACAGCUGGAACCAAAAGGCCCCAGGAGGGAUCCUGGCUCUGACAUCUCCCAGCCGUGUGGCCUUGGGCAAGGUCCCUGACUUGGACCUCAGCCUCCUCAUCUGUAAAACAGGCAGAACAGUAAUACCGACCUUGUAGGUUGUAUAGAGUUCAUAUACAUCAAGCACUUACCACAGUGCCUGGCGGACCGCAUGCCCUAAACACACAAUCCGUGAAAUGAAUCCAUCAGCAAGCAGCUGCUAGGGGCAGUGUGGGGCAGAGAGGCAGCUGCCUGCUGGAACUGGCUGACAGGAGGAUGAGUGUGUGGCAGGAGGAACGCUCUGCACAGAGGACACUAGGUAGCGUCACCUGUCUCUUACCCUGUGUCUCCACUGGAAUGGAAUGUCAGACUCGCACCAUGCAUUCCUUUCCCUGCCAAAACGCCUCCUCUUAGCAGUGAGCAAGAAAGUUGUUCGAGUGGAUGAAGCCAAAAGCCCAUUUGGCAAGAGUGCUGUUUUGGAAAAUGCUUAGCGGUGUGGGUUGGGAUGAGGUUUUCUGUGCCUUUCCAUUAUUUCUUCAGCUUCAUGUAACCCUGACUGAGCAAUGCUCAGCAGAGUGAAGGCUGGGCAGCAGAUGGACAAGAUUUUCUCAAACUCCUUUUUAAGCCAAUUUCAAAAUAGAGAGAGGGAAAAAUCCUUGUUUUCUCUUUUCGGUUUUGAGAGGUUUCAUAUGCAGACACAAUUUUAAAUUUUAUUUUUUUUGCCCCCAAUGAGAUGUUUGGAGAUGGUGGUACUAGAACAGGAAGGAAUUUAUAAGUAUUGGGGAAUUUUUCAUCCCAAUUCCCAUAUCCUCCUAUAAUUCAAGGAGUGAAUGGGUAGUGUUUUUGUUUUUGUGAGAGGGGUGGCGGAGGGUAGAGAGAGAAAGAGAGAGAGACAGAGAGAGAUUACAUAGAGGUGUCCAAAAUGAACACAGUAAAAACCAGUUUUGAUUAAUUCUGCAAUAUUAAGUAGGCAGCCAAAAAUUUUGGUCUGCUUAAUUCUUAGCUCAUCUAAGUCUCCAGUUGACUGAUUGAUUGAUUGAAUGACUUAUUCAACAUGCGCUAGCCAGACACUGGUCUAGGGCCCAGGAAUUCAGCAAUAAAUGAAACAAGACCAA